AUAUGCUCAGUUUAUUGCAUGUGAUUCAUAUGUUGUAUAUACUUAUCCGAGGAGCCUUUGCGCUUCGCCACUGCCUUCAGUGAAGAGUUCAUCAUCAACGUUGAGGGCGAAAAUCUUUCUCCCCAAGGAGCCCCUUAAGGCUACUACACAACAAGUUCAUCUGUCUUGUCUCCUGAUUUGGGAUUCGUCCAUGGCUUCAAAGUAUAUCCGUUACAUGUUAGUAUUAUAUUUCCUUAGAUAUCUAGGUUGCUGAAUAAUUUUUCUAGAUAGCUAGGACGAUGAAUUAACAUGAGAUGACUAUGUUGUUUAUACAUAUAGACUGUUGUCAGUAUAAAUUAGGUUUGCUGAUGUAGCCUAAUUCACAUGCUUCUGCAAACAUGGUGAAUGAUCAGAUUUCAAUGUAUAUGGUUAUGACUUAUCUCUUCUCGUCAAAUAAUGUGAGAUAUUGAGGUGAAUAAUAAAUUAUGUGUUUCUUAUCUCCAAGUAAUCGUUACGUACUAACAUUUUAAUAACGAGAGCAUAGAAACGAUAAAUAUUGUUUCUGUAUCCCAAUAUAUCUUAUUAUUAUAUGUUGACUCCGUAGCAAAGCACGGGCAUAUACCUAGUUAUGAUUGAGGAGAAAAAGAGUUUUGUCCACAGAGCCCAUUUUAAAACCCUUAGAAAGCAGAAAAGAUUUCAAACGCUCAUACCGGGCUCUAGGGGCUUGUUUCAAACCAUACAAAGCUUUUUGGAGUUUAAAAACGUGGUUUGGAAACUUGGAACUGUCAACACCAGUGGGUUGCCUAACAUAUAUCUCUUCCUCUAUAUACCCAUUCAAAAAGGCACUUUUGACAUCCAUUUGAAAAAACUUAAAACCCUUUGAAGCAGCAAAGGCUAAAAGGAUCCUAAUGGCCUCUAAACGGGCAAUAGGGACAAAGGUCUCCUCAUAAUCAAUUCCCUCUUUUUGGCAAUACCCUUGGGCAACCAACCUCGCCUUGUUUCUCACUACCAAACCAUCCUCACUCUGUUUGUUUUUUAAAACCCAUUUUGUACCGAUGGGAUGGCAGUUAGAAGAAGGUGGCACCAAAACCCAAACCUGAUUUCUUUCGAAAUUUUCAAGCUCCUCAUGCAUAGCAUUAACCCUGUUAGGAUCAGAUAAAGCAUGUCCAACAUCUCGAGGAUCAAAAGUAGCAACAAAAGUCGAGUGAGAAAAAUGAGAAAUGCGUUGUGACCUAGAGCGAGUGACUCGCUCGUGAAGCUCCCCGAUCAUCUGCUAAGGUGGGUGACGACGCUGGAUAUGCUAUGGAGCCUCCCUUGAGGAAGUGGCCUCCCCCUCAACAGCAGCUUCAACUCCUCCAGUCUCAGCAAGAGCUGGCUCAAGCGAACCCCAAGUGGUGGAAGGAGUGGGGUCGGGUCCGUCAGCCGUAGUAGUUGGCUCGACUGGGGCGGCCGGUGGAGUUGGCUCGAGAGCAACCCAAUAGGCGUCGUCGUGCUCCUCCUCCACAAAGAUGGUCUGUCCCAUCUGAUCUAGACCUGCAGGCUCAAAGACAGGGGAUGGACAAGGUGCAGUCUCAUCGAAUGUAACCUCACAAGUCUCCAUAAUGCAGUUAGUCUCUAGGUUAAGAACACGAUAAGCAUGAUAAUGCAAUGCAUAACCCAGAAAAACCCCAUCAGAAGACCAGGACUCAAACUUGUCCAGAUUAUUCUGUUUCAGCACAAAGCAUCUGCAACCAAAUACCGUGAAAUGGCUGACCUUGGGUGGUCGUCCAAAUUACAGCUCAUAAGAAGUUUUGUUCAGAAAAGCCCGAAGAAAGAUAUGAUUGGACACAUGGCAAGCAGUGUUGAUCGCUUUGGCCCAAAAACGCAUAGGAGUCCUAUGCUCAUCAAGCAUCGUCCUGGCCAACUCAACAAGGGUCCGAUUUUUGCGUUCAAUAAUACCAUUCUGCUGGGGCACAUAUGGAGAGGAAAACUGAUGCUUAAGUCCCAAAGAAGCACAAAAGGUUGCAAUUUUAGUAUUUUUGAAUUUUGUGCCAUUGUCACUAUGUAUAGCUCUCAUGGCAUUUUUAGGAAACUCAUUUUGCAACCGAAGAAUCAAAUCUCAAGCAUGAGUAAAAGCCUCAUCCUUCACCAUCAAAAAGAACACCCAAGAGUAGCAAGCGAAGUCGUCGACAACCACAAGCACAUACCACUUCCCUCCAAAAGAGCAAACCCUGGCUAGACCAACAAUGUCCAUAUGAAGCAAUUCGCCAGGAUGCAAGGUCAUCACCUUGGUGACCGGGGAAUGGGAAGCGGCAAUCAUUUUGCCAUGACGACAAGGGUGACAUACAAGAUAUUUCUCAAAUUUUAAUUUGGGCAAUCCUUGGAUGAGGUCAAGUGAGCUCAAACGACACAAAAGAUCAAAGCUCAAGUGACCUAGCCUCUUAUGCCACUUCCAAAGAGAAGAGGAAGAUCCUGCCAGCAAACAUCGAGAAGGGCCAGAAGAAUGUGAAAAAUCAGCACUAAACACUCGACCAAAAGGGGAAAUCUAGCAAAUAAGAUCCCCACGGGCAUCCAAAACUCAAGACAAGCCCUUUUUAAAGCGCACUUCAUAGUCAUCCUCAAGAAGUUGCGAAACUAAAAGCAGAUUGAAAUGCAGAUUCGAAACCAAAGCAACAUCCUUGAGAAUAAAGCUCUCGUUCACCCAAAUAGUGCCACGAGAAACAACCUUACCUCUUUACUUAUCCCCGAAUGGGAUGUAUUCCUUACCAAUCACGGGGUUGAGGCUGGAGAACCAUUUUGAGCUUCCAUUCAUGUGGCGUGAACAGCCAGGAUCCAUGAGGCACGUGUUCUCCAGGCCUCCAUCCUGCAUCAAUAGUAAGACACGGGGUGAGCAAAUGGCACAACAUUGGGGUAAGUAAACUAUGAAGAGUACUAGUGUUGCGGCAUUUGCCCCUAAAAAGUGUUAGGGAAAACAAUAAACAUCCGCGGUUCCAAAGGGAAGCGAUCACCACAAGAACGAAAUUAUGGUCCCCUGGGGAAGUAUGAACCAAAACCUCUAUCACAUGGUCCUUGGCCAUAUGGCACACGACUAGCAUCCCGUCGGGCACGACCACCACGUGGUCUCACUGCCUGAGGCCUAGCGGCAAGAGGCAAAACACCUCUAGGCCUUGCAGGAUGUCUCUGAACAGGCUGAGCAUGAACACCAUGAGAGGGGUGGUUCAUGUCCUUCCUGCUCGACUGAGAAACCCGCCGCUCAUCUCUCUUCCUCCUAAAGCAAAAACAAGCUAGAUGUCCAUCCCUCUCACAAUACUCACAAUGGUACCUCACCUCUCUCUUGGGUGAAUUUUGUUUGUGGGAGGGGGCUUUCUUUUUGGAUGGCUGAGGGGCUCUAGGAAGGGGAUCUCCAGAGAUGUCGGGAAAGGUAUCAAGUGUGUUCCUAAGAUGGUUAGGUUUUGUAAGCCACACUUGUUUCUGAGGAGGAGCUCUCAUAGGUUCAUCAAUCACACCAUCUCUCAUAGGGGUGAUAGAUUUAGCAAGGGUGGUUUUGAUAAGCUUGGGAGUGGGUGAAGGUUUCUCUGAAGGUGUCAAACCACUACACUCACCAACCUCCCCAAAGCAAGUGACAUUUCCAUCCUUAGCAGCAAAGCCUAACCUCGGUCUGCCAGUUCCCCUCUUGAACUGACUGACCAUAAUGCCCAACUGGGGCUCACUGCACGACACCCAACUCAAGACAGAUCGAAGGUAUGUGUUUCCUUCCUCGAUUCUUUUCUUGUCGUGUCUGCAGCACUCAAGGGAAGACUACAAACCCUCACAAAGUGCACACUGCGCAGGUGCAAGGGCACUCACUGAGCUAGCCUUCUCAAGCAAAGCUAUCCUAGCGUCUCUCUCUGCUAGCUCAGACUGCAAGCUAGGAUAAACGGUACACGUACCCAACAGGAUAGACCUAGAUCUCAACCCGUCGCGCUCAUCUAGCAAGGUGGAGUACUUGGUCUGCAAAGUGGUGAUGUUUGACAUGUGUAGAGCGCACUCAUCACAUUCAGUCUCGUCGGAGACCACAACUGAAGCUCUAGCAGACUCAAAUUCCCUAAGCGUGCUCUCGUACUUGGAUCUAAACUCUCUCCUCUCACGAGCAGCCUACCUAAGCAACUUAUCCUGACUAGCCAAAGUAGGGUUCAGCUCUUCUAUCUUAGCGACGAGAUCAUCGGCAGAAGGUAGUACCUCAGAAGUAGUGUCGUCAUCGAUGUCUUUGUCGUCACCGAUGACGACCGCGUCCUCACCAAGUGCCAUGGUGCAGAAGCCUCUUGCGGUGUCUGUGAUGAAGCACAACCCGUCCAGCUUGUCCUCGACCCUCCUCUCUGUCUCCUCAUCACUCGAGGAAGAUACAACUCGUCGGAGUCAUGGUCGAGGUCGCUGAAGGAGGCAAGUAAGGCAUGCUCCUUGAUCUUUGCCUUAUGAAGGUACUUCUUCUUGAGCGCGUCCUUGUCGAAUCCUCCCUUGGACUUGUACUUGCCAGAGGAGUACUUGCCCUUAUGCCGACAGAGUGAUGGCCACGCUGGCUAGACUCUAAUUUGCCCUUCUUGGGGCAGAUGGCAAUGAAGUGGUCUGUAUCGCCAUAAUUGUAGCAUCCAUGCUUGGACCCACCACACCGCCGGCUCAUACAGUUGUUAUGGAACCGCGUGAACCGGCUGGCCACAAGUUCCAGCUCCUCAUCCCUAAGGCUCUCCACCUACUCCUCUAUAAUAGACAACAAAGAAGAUAGAGCAAACAUAGCAGGUGAGGAGUUAAAAGCAGAACCACGUCCAUAGACUAGGGCCAUGGUGGGUGCACUAGGGUUCUCAAUCUUGGCCCGAGUCUAGUGGUCAAUCUCUAUGGACUUGAGCUUGCUAAAGAGAUUGUCCACGCUGAGAGUCUCGUAGUUGGGUGACUCGAUGAUCGCCGAGACCUUCACCUCCCAAACCCUCCGAUUUAGAGCAUGUAGUAAUUUCGGCGCUCUCUCAUGAUCACUAUAGGGUAGCUGUGCCUUGUUGGCAUGCAUCUUGUUCACAAUAGACUAGAACCUGGAGAACAUAGGAUCAAUGGUCUCUCCAGCCAACUGUGUGAAGUUCUCGUACUCUCGCCUGUACGUCUCAAAAAGUCUGGUCUUCACAUGAUCGUUGCCCUCAAGGAAUCUCUCGAGGGUAGACCAGAUCUGAUGAGCUGUAGUCAGAUGUCCAACUCGCUCAAACUCACCAAGUGAGAGACACGAGAACAAAGCAUUUUGAGCUCUGUUGUUCGAAUCAUGGAACUCCAUUUGAAUUGGAGUGAUCCGGUCACUUGUAGCAUCAAAAUUCGCAUCGAGACAAAUUUCCCAAACCCGAUAACUGAUGCUCUGAAGAUACGCACACAUGUGAAUCUUCUAGUACGGGUAAUUGGUCCCAUCUAAUAACGGAGGUUUGCCAACACCUCGUUCCAUGUCGCCUAUGUGGAUUUCGAACCGAUUAGGGAAGAGGAAUCCUUAAGCGGCUCCGAUACCAAUUGUAGGACCGAUAAGGCGAUCAGAGGGGGGGUGAAUGAGAGCCAAUUGGAUUUUGCUUCCAAACACUGAAAAUGAACACUUCACUUCAAUUGAGAUGAAGCAAGUGCUCAAACCAUGAACACAUCAGCGAACGAGUGAUCUCAUGAUUACAAAAUGUUCAUAAUACUCACUUGAGGCCAGCAAAACAAACGGAUCGCAAAUCGGACACCAAAAAGUCCAAAACGGUCCAAAACAGUAUCGUCAACAAGUGUUGUUUUCAGCAGUACGAAAUUUUAUUCUUGAAUUCAAAACUGAACCAAACGAACUCCAAUUGAGAUGAAAUUUUACACACACCUGAGCAAAUACGUUUCCAAGGUCUCCCCAAAUUUUGAGCUCAAUCAAACUUGUGAAUCAACCACAGAUUUAAAAAUACAACCAGAAAUUGAGGUUUUGUUGGGGUUUUCUAGAACGAGUUCAAACUGAGUUUUUCUCAAAUCGCGACCAAAAUCUGCAACAACUAGGUGUAUGCAGUGGUUCGAAGAGUGCAACUCACCACCAAUCAAUCCCCAAACCAAAUUCUCUCAAAGGAAUCAUAGGUUUUUCACCAACAACACAAGAUCGGGGAAAAGGAGAAACCAAGACUAUAAAACUUCAGAAAUUCUAGCAAGGGUACAAACUGAGAUUUGAAGCCAAAGAGCCCUGUGGGCCAGAUCGGCAACCCUUCUGAAAGGGAAAUAGGGUUAACCUUUUCCUACAAUUAAUUUUGGUGGUUGAAUGUCCAACACAAACAUAUGGACUAACUAGUUUGCUCUAGAACUCAUGUAUUACAGGUGCAUAAGGUUCAACACAAACCAAUAAAAGAUUCAAGUUAGGGAUUAAAUUGAUCCAGAGCAAAGACUUGAGUGUGAUGUGGUUUGGCGCACCGGACUGUCCGGUGUGCCAACGGACAAUGUCCGGUGCACCAUGCCCGUACAAAUCCAAAGCAGCCACUCUCGGGAAAACGCAGCCGCGCUCCGCUAUAAUUCACCGCACUGUCCGGUGAGCCAGCGGGGUAACGGCUACCUGCGCAACGGUCGACUCUAACAACGCUACAGUGUCGCAGCAGAAGUCAGAGCAGCGGGUCAGAGGGGCACCAGACUGUCCGGUGCACCACCAGACUGUCCGGUGCCACAAGCAGACAAAGGCGCCAAUGGUCGACUGCUCCAGAACCCUAACGGUUGGGUGACGUGGCGGCGCACUGGACACUGAACAGUGUCUGUCUAGUGGCGCACUGGACUGUCCGGUGCGCCCAUCAACAUCAGCCUCCCCAACAGCUACCUUGGUGGUUGAGGGCUAUAAAUACCCCCAACCAUCACAACUUCAAGCAUCCAAGUUUUCUGAAUAUCACAUUCAAUACAAGAGCUCUAGCAUUCACUCCAAGACACAAUACAAAAGAUCAAAUCCUCUCCGAAUCCCAAAUCCACUCCAAACACUUAGUGGCUUGUGAGAGAGAGAUUUUUGUGUUCAUUCGAGUUCUUAUCGCUUGGAUUGCCUUUCUUCUUUUCAUUCUCUUACUCUCAAGUGCUUUUUAAGCGAAUCAAGAGACACCAAGUGUGUGGUGGUCCUUGCAGGGUCUUAGUGACCCGUGAGAUUAAGGAAGAAGGCUCACUCGGUCUAAGUGACCGUUUGAGAGAGGGAAAGGGUUGAAAUAGACUUGGUCUUUGUGACCUCCUCAACGAGGACUAGGUUCUUUGGAACCGAACCUCGGUAAAACAAAUCACCAUGUUCAUUCGCUUGAUUCUCAUUUGAUUUGUUUUCCCCUUUCUCUAGGACUUGAUUUUAGUUCUAACGCUAACCCCGACUUGUAGUGUGUGUUUAAAGUUGUAAAUUUCAGAUUACGCCUAUUCACCCCCCUCUAGGUGACUUUCAAUUGGUAUCAGAGCCUGGUGCUUCAUUAGAGUCUAACAACUUGAAGUGAUGUCGGGAGAUCAUGCCAAGAUGGAAAUCGUAACCGACGACAAGUCCGCAAGCUCGGGGAGGACUCUCUCAAGGGAAUCCGGCAAUAAACACAAGGAGGAAUCCUCUUCCUCCAUCAAGUCGCUUCGGAAAGGUGACAAGAAGAAGAAGAUGAAAAAGGUCAUCUACUACGAGACCGACUCUUUGUCACCCUUCACAUCUGUUGGGACUUGUUCUCAAAUGCUAUGAAUUAAGAACAAGGCAACACAAAAAUAGGUUAAUGAUUAAUGCCCUUCGUCCUUCGAAGCAUUAUUUCCCUAAGGAUAUAACGAUCUUCGGACGAAGGUUAUAAAGGACGUACCUUCAUCAUCACAGCAUAUAACAAUGAAAGACGAAGCAUAUGAAACAUGAGAAAUAACAUGGAUAAUCAUAUGGCAUCAAAAUAUAUCUUUUGUUAUAUAAUCAUGAAUGAAUAAGAACAAUAUUAAAUUACAUUUGUACCUUCGGCUUGACAAAAAAGCAAAGGUACAGGUGUGAUGCACAAGCGAUUACAAAUCAGCAUGAACAGUGUAACACCCCAGGUGUUACUCAGGGUGUCCACCCAGGGCUACACCAUUUAAACCUACUAUCACAUGUGGGUUAGUUUGAGCAACGUACAUCAAACUUAGAAUUCAAGGUCCUAAGCAAGUGCAACCCAUCUUGGAUAUCAUACCCUAACUUAUCAUGCACAUCUAAAGGGGAGAAUUGACCAAAACCCUAAAGCAAACCCCUUGGGACAAUGGGAACCCUAGAUGUAAGUAUGACCAAAAGGUCAUGAAAACAUUAUGAUCAUGGCUUGGACCAAAUAUAGAAGUUGUAGUACACUUAAUAACCUACAAAUAAUAGUAAGAAAGUAACCCCAAAAAGAUUUCAGAAAAGCCCCAAAAGGUUCACCAAAGGUUUGAGCACAAAAGAAAAAUCAGAAAUUGCCUAAGUCCAAAACUAACCUUUGGCCAAAGAUCACACAUGUGCACCCUCAUUCAAACUUCAAAACACUUCAACCCAAUUGACAAAGUGGCGCCAAAUUAACCCUAGAAUGCCCUGGAAAAAGUUGACACCUACCCUAAGACGUUUGACACGACUUGGCACCAUUUUGUCUCGGUUUGGACAUCUCUGACAUAGCCGACUUCCCACCCCCAUAUCUCUCUAACCCGACCACAUCUACCCUUGGAACUCACAUGAACUAGGUAGCUCUAGGUGCAGGGAAGAGAUCUCUCACAGGCUCUAGGGCAAGAUUCGUACGUUUUGGCCGCUCAGCAGAGGGAAGAACACGGGCAGAAGCAAAGAGCCACGUGUUCGACGCGCUCUGAGCUCGCCAGAGCAUGCCCGCACGCGCCCCCGCUUGCCCCGCGUCGCGCCAAAGCCAAGCCGGCACCAUGGCCCGCGCCCGCGCCUAUAAAGCCCCCAGGGACUUCGACCGUACCCCUCCGCACGCGCUCGACCUCACCGGAGCCCAAACCCACCGGCGUUUGCCCGUGCACGGCGUGUUCGCGGCCGCCCGAUCCCCCUGCCACCGUAGACCGGCCAACAAAACCCUUCCCAACCCCGUCCGACCCUCGGAGAAGACUGAGCACACCUCGGUGAAGCUCCCCGAGCGGGGAAUCGGAGUUUGCUUCGCCGGAGAGGCCAGUCCACGGUCGCCGGACUCCACCCGACCACCGGCGAGCGUAGACCGGGUAAUCCUCUGCUCCAUUCCUCGAUUCCUUGUGCACACAGCCUCUACGUCACCCCGUGAAGCUCACUGUGCCAUUGGAUUGAGCUAGGUCGCCGUGGUUUGGCCGGAACACCCGCCGCCGACGAGAGCACCCGCCUGCGCACGUGGACCGGACGAUUCCGGCCACCCCCGUCGUCGAACCGUACACCGUUGUGACUGCCAGGACCUCCUGGAGCCAACCCCGCCCCUCGCCGGACUUCUCUCACCGCCGGUAAGCCGCGCCGCCCUUUUCUUUCUCGCGGGUACUAUUUAAACCUAGGGAGGGACCGCGGGGGAGAAGAAGAGAAAGCUAGGGGGUUUUGCGCAAUGUCAGUGACUCAGAGAAAUAGUAGCGCGGGGGUAUAACUGAGAGAGUUAGUUUGGAAAUAACCCGAGGACCCCGGUGCAAAGUGGUUUUCCAGGAAACCUUUUAUUAAAUCUGAUUUAAAAUUUAAACAGAACUUGAAUAAUUCAUAUCUUGUGUUUUAUUCAUCCAAAUUGAGUCAAACCAAUUUUGUCAGAUCUUAAAUAAUAUAAACUACUUAAAAAAUAUAAAACCCCUAUGUGCUACAGAAAACUUUAGGGUUCUGAUUUAAAUAUUGAUUUGGCCAAAAGCUAAAUAAUAGGAAGAAAAAUAGUUGCACUAUUUAACUGAGGUUAAGAAAAUUUGGAGAAGUACAUGACCACCUAGUGACCUAUUUAAAAAUGAUACACCCCUUUUGUACACCCCAUUAAGGUAGAGUUUGCCAUUUAUUUCACAUUGUGCUUAAAGUUAAAGAAAAUAGGAAAGGUGAUUUAAUUAAGGAACCAGGGGCACCCCUAUUUUUGUUAGUUUACUUAUUCAAUAUAGUUCACUAGAAAAAUCUAUUAUACUCUGGUUUAGUACAAAAUAAUUGGGAUACCUUUUAUUUUAAGAAAACAAGGAAAAUUUAGAAAAACCCUAGAAAAUAACCCCAAGGUGAAAACACCCCAAACCUUGGGAUAAUUAAUGUUUUAUUAUUAAGAACUUAGGAAAAAUAUGAAAUCUGCUGUUUGACAUUUUUCAAAUAGCAAGGCAGUAGAAAGUGCCUUUUUGGCAUUAAACUUUGGAAAAUCACAACUAAAUAACCAUCCCUUAGCUUUCUGUGAUUUUUGGCACAGAAGCUUAUUAUUACUGUUAAAUGCCAAUAAAAAUAACCCUUAGGACAGAACCCGCCCCUAGUUAAGAGUUGUAGUGCAAAGUGGCCCAUUUACACAACUUUUGUUAUUUUUGUCUAAAGCAUAGCCUUUUUAUUUUGAACCUCAAAUUCCUGGAACAGGCUAUAUUGACCAAUGGCAAGCCACUGUAAUUUUUACAGAAUUUUUGGAAAAAGUUAAUGCACUGUUGUAGUUCAAACCUACACUAGAAUUCAUAAAUAGAAAAUAAAGAAAGGAAAAAUGAAUAAUGGAAAUUAGUGUCAUCCUAAAACCCUUUGUAAAUUGUCCACUGAAAUAUAUAAAGGAAAUACCAAUCCACUAUGCUUAUCCUUAACAAAACCUAAACCUAGAGUGAUAAGCAUAAACCACUAAAAGCCACGUAUGACCAAUGAACCCUAAGUUGCCAACUAACUUAGUUUUUCUUCCUUUAGCAUAAUGUUAUUAAAUCCUGCAUAAUCAUGACAUACAUAUUCAUUACAUUUCGAUAGACUGUAACCUCGCUGACGGAGAGUACGUCCUCGUGCCAGAGCAAGGAGCUGCUCAGGAGGUAGCCCCGGAUCCAGCACCAGAGCCUGCACCAGAGGAUCUGCCUGCCACUGCUUUGGAAGGCAAGCCCCAGUUUAUGUAUAACCUGUUAUUUAUGUUAUUUUACUACACCUAAUGAUUGUAGGAUUGAUUGUGCACUUAGGUGUAGGAGUUGUUUGAAACCCUAGUUGCAUGAUCUAAGGAAUCCUUUUGAGAUGAAUACUAGUAUGCUAGGUCGAGGUAGUUGCUUUAUUAAUUAGAAUCUUGGUAGAAGUCAAGUGAUUUUUCUAGCACUCGCACGAGGUCAGGAAAUUGGUUGUAUCCACUUUCUUCUCAUAAUGAUGCUGGUUGUGGACAACAAUCCAUGGGGAUUGGUUGUCCAUGGAAUAAAAAAAUUUGAAUAAGGAUUAAGGUGUGGUAUCGUGAGUCAAGCGUUUGAACGUACUAAACACAUACCGAGAAAUAUGGUAAAUCGGUAAGCCUAGUACCUGAGUGAACCUGCCCGUAGACUUUACCCCUCACACGACCUGAGACGUGGUCUCCCAUUCCGGUUAUGGUGGGUACAAGUGCGGUCACUACACGACGGCAAUCGGGGUCACUGAGGCAUUGUACGCCAAGGCGGUGAGCCCUGAUCUGUUGCCAGGGAAUCGAUGGGAACAGUUGAUGUGUGUGGGGACGGAGUGCCCCUACACGUCGUGUGUUUAGGUUUACCUUGCAAGGAUAAAAACUUGAUUCGAAUCGUCUGCUUCUCGCAGCUAAUGAGACUGCUUGAUCCAUGCUGCUACAUUGAGUAGUCAGUACAUAUUUAGCCUUAAGAGAGUCACACUUAAAUUUGACAAAGUUAAAACUUGAUUUAGAGACUCAGCUAGUGCUUUUGGCAAACCAAACCCCUCAGCCAAACAGCUGCAUGUCUAGAGGUAGAGGAGUAGACUCCUCACACCGGGUAAGUCUAGCUGAGUAUUAGUAUACUCAGCCUUGCUUGUGGCAUAAUUUUACAGGUUCUUUGGAGGACAUGGUUGCUGGAGUGACUUGGCCGUCCAUCUUGCCACCGGGUUGGACUGUCGAGUGGGACCCCACCUCGGCCGAGGUGGAGCAUGAGGAGUGAUGGGACAAGCUUCCCCAUCCCUCCAUUUAUCUAUCGUUAGUUUUAUUCCGCUGCACUUCGAACAAUGAUGACUACUUUUGCAAAACUCCGAUGGUGAUGUAAUAAUUUAAUACUCCUUAAUGUAUGGUUUUAUGCUUUAUUGUAUUUGCUCUGUGACUCACCAUCGAGUGAGAUUGUGGUACUUGAUCCUGUCAGUGGCCUCGUCGGACUAGAUCCGAGGGAUUGACGGGUUAUUCCCAUUUAAGUGUGGUCUAGCCUCUAAGGCGGGACUUAGGCACUUAAGUCGGAAUAAUUUGGGCAGUUCCGCCACAGCUGGUAUCGGAGCUUGUACCACCACAUAGGAAUCAAUAAAAUAUAAAUACCAUCCUUUUCCGAAGUAAAACUUGAUAGAAACAAUGUUGGAUAGAUCGUAGGACGAUCAGGACAGACCUAGGACGUGAAGCCUUAGGAUGAUAGAGGGGUAGUUAGGUGGCUAAGUGAUUAAGCCCUACAGGCUACUAUAAGGGAUGGGAGUUCUUCCCUAUUCCCUUUACAUUGAUGUGAGGUCGUUCAGGACGAGCAUGCAUGCAUUCUUAAAUUAAAACAAAUGGAUAAUUGGGUAAGGACUUUAAUACAAAAUGAUGACCAACUAAGUACCCCAGUACCAUUGUUAUAUUUAGAGAGAGGCUGAGUUGUGUUUCCUUUUUCUUUUUAUAAUUCUUUUUCUUUUACUUACGCUUAAUCGUACACAGAUGACUUCCCACGGAUCCUCAGACGACGGGAAUGCACUGUCCCACACUGACGGGCUUGCACGAGAGGGCUUUCCCCGUAUUUUGUGGGAGGUACUUCAGGGGGCUGGAUACACGACACCUCCUCAGUACGCGGUGCAGCAGUUCGAGAAGCACCGAGUGCCCCGCUGUAGGGUGAGGAUGACCUUGGAGCCUCAUCCCCUGCAGCCAGGCUGGCGUUCGCUGGACUCUGAGUCCUUUGGAUACCGGGCUAAGGAUACGAUCGAGGCGAUUGCUCUACACAGGUUGACCACUUUCUGCGGAUUCCAUCCCUUGGAGCUAUCCACCCACCCCAUUGGCUUGUUCCCGCGGAGAAGGAGGACGACCCAAUGUGGAAGGAUCGGGUGGAGCAUGCCAAGGACAUCUGGGCUAUCUACCCGGGCCAGACUGCUCACUUGAUAGUGCGGUGCAUGAAUGCCCUGUACCGUCUGCAAGUGAUGCGUGGUGAGGCAAUGUCCCAUCUGAUGGCACUAUUGGAGGCAACUAAGAUCACCCUGGACAACAGAGAGGAGCUUGUGGUUGAUUUGUCCACUGAGAUGGUGGAAAAGGACUUGCAGGUGGAGCAGUUGUCAAAUGAGAUCCAUGAGCUGGAGGAAUUAGUGGGAACAAGGGAGAACACCAUCGAGGUUCUCGAGGAUCAGCUUAUCAACACCCAGCAGCAGCUUGCCGAGGCUAAUGAGCACCUAGAUAUGCAUCACCAGGAGAUCCAGGAUAUGGAGGCUAACGAGGACGUCGACAUUGAGGGAGGAGAGGAGCCUGCCUCCAGCUUGGACACUGCUGGCUCAGGGAGACCACCUUCCCCCGAGUCGAGUGUUGCCUCGUUCGUUCACUAGGUAUCAGGAGUAGGGCUAGAAGUCGGAAAUGGUGGGACUCCUCAAAGCUAGAUUAGCUUUUGCACCCUUGGGGCACUAGGCUAGAUAGAGUUGAGUCUUUUGGGCCACUGAUGUAAUCAUGAUAAACUCUUUUGGAAGCAUGGUUGAUGGAUGAUGUUAGUCUUAAUUUGGGAAGAAAAGUUUAAGCCUUGUGAAAUCCUUUAUGUUUAUGCAAGAAUCUAUCACUUCGCCUUUUGACUCAUUCUUCGCGAUUGAACCUUGAACCUUAAAGAUGUGUUAUUGAGAAUAUAUGUGAUUUUUCAGAUGGCCGGGAGAGCGCGUCGCGGUCAGAAUGAGCGCGUUCCUCCACCACCGCCACCGCCUCCCACUCUGCAGGAGCUAAUGGCUCAGCAGAAUGAGAUCUUGAGGCAGCUAGCUCAGCGCCAGCCACCACCUCAGCACUAUGGUGGUGGAGAUCAUCAACGUCACCCCGCGGCAGCCACCUACCAGGAGUUCCUCAGUACCCAGGCUCCAUUGUUCACCAGGGCAGAGGACCCACUUGAUGCGGAUGUAUGGUUGAGAGUAGUGGAAUCCAAAUUCCCGCUACUCCAUGGAGUUUGUUCAGAGGUCACUAAAGUCAGGUUCGCCACCCAGCAGCUUCGCGGACCCGCAAGGACUUGGUGGGACCAUUUUCUUGCUAUGCAGCCAGAUGACCGAGAGGUGGAAUGGAGAGAGUUCAAGGCAGCUUUCAGGGGGCACCAUAUACCAGCCGGAAUUAUGGACCGAAAGCUCAACGAGUUUCUGGCGCUCACUCAGGGCAACCGGACAGUGUUGCAGUAUGCUCAGGCCUUCAAUGACAUGUGCCAGUAUGCUGGGUAUCAUGCAGAUACAGACGAGAAGAAGAGAGACAAGUUCAGGAGGGGGCUCAGCACUAAGCUCCGUGACCAUCUCAACACCGUCAGGGCCAACAGCUAUAAUGAGUUAGUCAACAUGGCCAUUUCUCAGGAGGACUGUAUCACCGCUCGUCAGGCAGAGAAGAAGAGGAAGACCCCUGUGGCAGGACCCUCAGCUCAGCCACAGCGCUUCAGGAUUGUGUCCGACACUCAGAACAGGGGGCCUCAGCAGCAGCAAGGGCGAUGGGUGAUCCGACCACAGCGGCAGCAGCAGGCACCCAACCGUACCCAGUUUCCAGCUCCGAGGAACAAUCAACAGCAGUAGCAGUAUCGCUAGGCAAAUGACAACAGGUGUUUCACAUGUGGCAACACCGAACAUUAUGCCAAGAAUUGUCCCAGGAACCAGCAGAGGCAGGGGCAGAAUGUUAAUCAGAAUCAAGGCAAGAGACAGAAGGUGCAAGUGAGGCAGGGCAGGCUGAACUUCACCACCAUGGCUGAUAUUCCAGAGGGAGCACCCGUCAUGACUGGUAUCUUUACAGUUUUGAAUUAUCUGCUAUUAUUCUUUUUGAUUCUGGUGCAUAACAUAGCUUUAUCAGUGCCAAAUUUAGUGCCAAGUGUCAAUUGCCUUUCCACCACACCAAUGGGGGUAUUACAAUUUCGACACCAGGAGGCAGGAUUGCCACCUACCAAGUCAACAGACAUGUGCCCAUAAGGUUUGGUAGUCUAAUAAUUAAAACCACCCUCCUCAUUUUGGGUUUGGAUAGCGUGGAUAUCAUAUUGGGAACUGACUGGUUAACCAGGCAUCAGGCAGUUAUUGAUAUUGCAGCUAGGGCCAUUGAGGUGCACUCACCGACUUGUGGUGAAACCACACUAUUUUUGCCCAACCAAGGCUGUACCCGUUCUUGUGCCUUCGUUAUGAUAGAGUCCCCAGUGGAAAGGAUCCCAGUGGUCCGUGACUACCCGGAUGUUUUUUCGGAUGAAUUGCCAGGGAUGCCACCUGACCGAGACAUCGAGUUCGCAAUCGAAUUGCAACCCGGGACUGCUCCUAUCUCCAAGAGACCCUAUAGGAUGCCUCCCCCAUAAUUAGCAGAACUGAAAAAGCAACUGCAGGAGUUGUUGGACAAGGGGUUCAUUCACCCAAGUACUUCACCUUGGGGAUGUCCUGCUUUAUUUGUGAAGAAAAAGGAUGAGAGUUUGAGAAUGUGUGUUGAUUACCGCCCUCUCAAUGCGGUGACUAUCAAGAACAAAUACCCAUUGCCCCGCAUUGAUGUUUUGUUCGAUUAGUUGGUGGGAGCCAAAGUGUUCUCCAAGAUAGAUCUUCGUUCGGGUUACCAUCAGAUCAAGAUCCGUACCAGUGAUAUUCCCAAAACGGCUUUCUCAACCAGAUAUGGGCUUUAUGAGUUUUUGGUAAUGUCUUUUGGGCUGACCAAUGCCCCGGCUUAUUUUAUGUACCUGAUGAACUAAGUAUUCAUGCCAGAGCUGGACAAAUUCGUGGUUGUUUUCAUUGAUGAUAUUCUGGUAUAUUCCAAGAAUGAAGCCGAGCACACCAAACAUUUGCAUGGACUUCAUCGUGGGACUGCCCAAUACCUCCAGGCACCAUGAUUCAAUUUGGGUUAUUGUGGACAGAUUGACCAAGACCGCUCAUUUCUUGCCAGUACACACCACCCACAGGACGGAGAAGUAUGCAGAAAUCUACAUUGACCAGAUAGAUCGUUUGCAUGGGAUACCAAGGACUAUAGUAUCAGACAGAGGAGCACCAUUUGUGGCACGAUUUUGGGAACAAUUGCAGGAAUCACUUGGGACCCAUGUAGUACGAAGCUCAGCAUACCAUCCUCAAACAGAUGGCCAGACAGAAAGGGUAAACCAGAUUUUGGAAGACAUGUUAAGGGCAUGUGUGCUGCACUACAGAAAAGAUUGGGACAAGUGCCUUUCUUUGGCAGAGUUUUCUUAUAAUAACAGCUACCAGUCCAGUUUGAAGAUGACACCUUUUGAAGCCUUAUAUGGGAGAAGAUGUAGAACCCCGCUGAAUUGGUCUCAAGUAGGAGAGAGGGAAAUAUUUGGACCAGACUUGGUACUUGAAGCAGAGGAAAAGGUCAGAGUUAUUACAAAGAACUUAGAAGCUGCUCAGGCCAGGCAAAAGAGCUAUCAUGACAAGAGGCGGAAGCCUCUACAAUUUGAAGUGGGAGAUCAUGUUUAUCUUAAGGUGUCACCCACCAAGGGUGUCCAGAGAUUCGGGAUCAAGGGCAAGUUAGCUCCUCGCUACAUUGGACCCUACGAGAUCAAGGAGGCUUGUGGACCUGUAGCCUAUCAAUUGAAGUUGCCACCCAGCAUGUCAGCUGUUCAUGAUGUGUUUCAUGUAUCUCAGCUGCGGAAAUGUGUCUGCCUACCCACUGAAGUGCUACCUGAGCCAGACAUUGAGAUAGAACCAGACUUGUCCUAUCAAGAGUACCCCGUCAGGGUAUUGGAUCAGAAAGAAGGUCAACGCAGGCAAGGUCAAUCAGAAUGUAUAAGGUUCAGUGGAGUCACCAUUCAGUAGAAGAAGUUAUAUGGGAGACUGAGGAUUUUCUACGCUCUCGCUUCCCCGACUUUCUGCCCAAAGGAGUCGGUACGUAACCCAAAACCCCACCCCCACCUGCCCUUCGAAUACAAUUAUAAGAAAAACUUAGAUAACAAGGGUAGUCUAAGUUGUGGUUUUAACUUAAAAAAGGACUUCCUUCUGAAGUUGCAAAGAGAAUGACAUUCGAAGAGCAGUUAACAAGAGAAACUUGGGUAAAAGAAAGGGUAGCGCACCAACACACCUUCACGCACCCCUCCAAGGGACUCUACCUAAAUCUCGGGACGAGAUUCCUUUAAGGGGGGAGGGCUGUAACACCCCAGGUGUUACUCAGGGUGUCCACCCAGGGCUACACCAUUUAAACCUACUAUCACAUGUGGGUUAGUUUGAGCAAAGUACAUCAAACUUAGAAUUCAAGGUCCUAAGCAAGUGCAACCCAUCUUGGAUAUCAUACCCUAACUUAUCAUGCACAUCUAAAGGGGAGAAUUGCCCAAAACCCUAAAGCAAACCCCUUGGGACAAUGGGAACCCUAGAUGUAAGUAUGACCAAAAGGUCAUGAAAACCUUAUGAUCAUGGCUUGGGCCAAAUAUAGACGUUGUAGUACACUUAAUAACCUACAAAUAAUAGUAAGAAAGUAACCCCAAAAAGAUUUUAGAAAAGCCCCAAAAGGUUCACCAAAGGUUUGAGCACAAAAGAAAAAUCAGAAAUUGCCUAAGUCCAAAACUAACCUUUGGCCAAAGAUCACACAUGUGCACCCUCAUUCAAACUUCAAAACACUUCGACCCAAUUGACAAAGUGGCGCCAAAUUAACCCUAGAUUGCCCUGGAAAAAGUUGACACCUACCCUAAGACGUUUGACACGACAUGGCACCAUUUUUGUCUCGGUUUGGACAUCUCUGACAUAGCCGACUUCCCACCCCCAUAUCUCUCUAACCCGACCACAUCUACCCUUGGAACUCACAUGAACUAGGUAGCUCUAGGUGCAGGGAAGAGAUCUCUCACAGGCUCUAGGGCAAGAUUCGUACGUUUUGGCCGCUCAGCAGAGGGAAGAACACGGGCAGAAGCAAAGAGCCACGUGUUCGACGCGCUCUGAGCUCGCCAGAGCACGCCCGCGCGUGCCCCCGCGUGCCUCGCGUCGCGCCAAAGCCAAGCCGGCGCCAUGGCCCGCGCCCGCGCCUAUAAAGCCCCCAUGGACUUCGACCGUACCCCUCCGCACGCGCUCGACCUCACCGGAGCCCAAACCCGCCUGCGUUUGCCCGUGCACGGCAUGUCCGCGGCCGCCCGAUCCCCCUGCCACCGUAGACCGGCCAACGGAACCCUUCCCAACCCCGUCCGACCCUCGGAGAAGACUGAGCACACCUCGGUGAAGCUCCCCAAGCGAGGAAUCGGAGUUUGCUUCGCCGGAGAGGCCAGUCCACGGUCGCCGGACUCCACCCGACCGCCGGUGAGCGUAGACCUGGUAAUCCUCUGCUCCAUUCCUCGAUUCCUUGUGCACACAGCCUCUAUGUCACCCCGUGAAGCUCACUGUGCCAUUGGAUUGAGCUAGGUUGCCGUGGUUUGGCCGGAACACCCGCCGCCGACGAGAGCACCCGCCUGCGCACGUGGAUCGGACGAUUCCGGCCACCCCCACCGUCGAGCCGUACAACGUUGUGACCGCCAGGACCUCCCAGAGCCAACCCCGCCCCUCGCCGGACUUCUCUCACCGUCGGUAAGCCGCGCCACCCUUUUCUUUCUCGCGGGUACUGUUUAAACCUAGGGAGGGACCGCGGGGGAGAAGAAGAGAAAGCUAGGGGGUUUUGCGCAAUGUCAGUGACUCAGAGAAAUAGUAGCGCGGGGGUAUAACUGAGAGAGUUAGUUUGGAAAUAACCCGAGGACCCCGGUGCAAAGUGGUUUUCCAGGAAACCUUUUAUUAAAUCUGAUUUAAAAUUUAAACAGAACUUGAAUAAUUAAUAUCUUCUAUUUUAUUCAUCCAAAUUGAGUCAAACCAAUUUUGUCAGAUCUUAAAUAAUAUAAACUACUUAAGAAAAAUAUAAAACCCCUAUGUGCUACAGAAAACUUUAGGGUUCUGAUUUAAAUAUUGAUUUGGCCAAAAGCUAAAUAAUAGGAAGAAAAAUAGUUGCACUAUUUAACUGAGGUUAAGAAAAUUUGGAGAAGUACAUGACCACCUACUGACCUAUUUAAAAAUGAUACACCCCUUUUGUACACCCCAUUAAGGUAGAGUUUGCCAUUUAUUUCACAUUGUGCUUAAAGUUAAAGAAAAUAGGAAAGGUGAUUUAAUUAAGGAACCAGAGGGCACCCCAAUUUUUGUUAGUUUACUUAUUCAAUAUAGUUCACUAGAAAAAUCUAUUAUACUUUGGUUUAGUACAAAAUAAUUGGGAUACCUUUUAUUUUAAGAAAAUAAGGAAAACUUAGAAAAACUCUAGAAAAAUAACCCCAAAAUGAAAACACCCCAAACCUUGGGAUAAUUAAUGUUUUAUUAUUAAGAACUUAGGAAAAAUAUGAAAUCUGCUGUUUGACAUUUUUCAAAUAGCAAGGUAGUAGAAAGUGCCUUUUUGGCAUUAAACUUUGGAAAAUCACAACUAAAUAACCAUCCCUUAGCUUUCUAUGAUUUUGGGCACAAAAGCUUAUUAUUACUGUUAAAUGCCAAUAAAAAUAACCCUUAGGACAGAACCCACCCCUAGUUAAGAGUUGUAGUGCAAAGUGGCCCAUUUACACAACUUUUGUUAUUUUUGUCUAAAGCAUAGACUUUUUAUUUUGAACCUCAAAUUCCUAGAACAGGCUAUAUUGACCAAUGGCAAGCCACUGUAAUUUUUACAGAAUUUUUGGAAAAAGUUAAUGCACUGUUGUAGUUCAAACCUACACUAGAAUUCAUAAAUAGAAAAUAAAGAAAGGGAAAAUGAAUAAUGGAAAUUAGUGUCAUCCUAAAACCCUUUGUAAAUUGUCCACUGAAAAAUAUAAAGGAAAUACCAAUCCACUAUGCUUAUCCUUAACAAAACCUAAACCUAGAGUGAUAAGCAUAAACCACUAAAAGCCACGUAUGACCAAUGAACCCUAUGUUGCCAACUAACUUAGUUUUUCUUCCUUUAGCAUAAUGUUAUUAAAUCCUGCAUAAUCAUGACAUACAUAUUCAUUGCAUUUCGAUAGACUGUAACCUCGCUGACGGAGAGUACGUUCUCGUGCCGGAGCAAGGAGCUGCUCAGGAGGUAGCCCCGGAUCUAGCACCAGAGCCUGCACCAGAGGAUCUGCCUGCCACUGCUUUGGAAGGCAAGCCCCGGUUUAUGCAUAACCUGUUAUUUAUGCUAUUUUACUACACUUAAUGAUUGUAGGAUUGAUUGUGCACUUAGGUGUAGGAGUUGUUUGAAACCCUAGUUGCAUGAUCUCAGGAAUCCUUUUGAGAUGAAUACUAGUAUGCUAGGUCGAGGUAGUUGCUUUAUUAAUUAGGAUCUCGGUAGAAGUCGAGUGAUUUUUCUAGCACUCGUGCGAGGUCAGGAAAUUGGUUGUAUCCACUUUCUUCUCAUAAUGAUCUCGGUAGAAGUCGAGUCCAUGGAAUAAAAAAAUUUGAAUGAGGAUUAAGGUGUGGUACCGUGAGUCAAACGUUUGAACGUACUAAACACAUACCGAGAAAUAUGGUAAAUCGGUAAGCCUAGUAACUGAGUGAACCUGUCCACAGACUUUACCCCUCACGCGACCUGAGACGUGGUCUCCCAUUCUAAUUAUGGUGGGUACAAGUGCGGUCACUGCACGGCGGCAGUCGGGGUCAGUGAGGCAUUGUACGCCAAGGCAGUGAGCCCUGAUCUGUUGCCAGGGAAUCGAUGGGGACGGUUGAUGUGUGUGGAGACGGAGUGCCCCUACACGUCGUGUGUUUAGGUUUACCUUGCAAGGAUAAAAACUCGAUUCGAAUCGUCUACUUCUCGCAGCUAAUGAGACUGCUUGAUCCAUGCUGCUACAUUGAGUAACAAGUGGAAAUAUGAUGAGUUGAUACAAGAUGUUGAUUGCUAAAAAUGUUUGCUACUAUGUAUGAGUAGUCAGUACAUAUUUAGCCUUAAGAGAGUCACACUUAAAUUUAACAAAGUUAAAACUUGAUUUAAAGACUCAGCUAGUGCUUUUGGCAAACCAAACCCCUCAGCCAAACAGCUGCAUGUCUAGAGGUAGAGGAGUAGACUCCUCACACCGGGUAAGUCUAGCUGAGUAUUAGUAUACUCAGCCUUGCUUGUGACAUAAUUUUACAGGUUCUUUGGAGGACAUGGUUGCUGGAGUGACUUGGCCGUCCAUCUUGCCACCGGGUUGGACUGUCGAGUGGGACCCCGCCUCGGUCGAGGAGGAGCAUGAGGAGUGAUGGGACAGGCUUCCCCAUCCCUCCAUUUAUCUAUCGUUAGUUUUAUUCCGCUGCACUUCGAACAAUGAUGACUACUUUUGCAAAACUCCGAUGGUGAUGUAAUAAUUUAAUACUCCUUAAUGUAUGGUUUUAUGCUUUAUUGUAUUUGCUCUGUGACUCACCAUCGAGUGAGAUUGUGGUACUUGAUCCUGUCAGUGGCCUCGUCAGACUAGAUUCGAGGGAUUGACGGGUUAUUCCCAUUUAAGUGUGGUCUAGCCUCUAAGGCGGGACUUAGGCACUUAAGUCGGAAUAAUUCGGGCAGUUCCGCCACAAACAGUACAGUGGUACUGUUCAUCUAUUUAUAGGCACAGGGCGCAGCCUGUGUGAAAUUACAUUUAUGUCCUCUACAACUGGUUACAAUCAUGACACAAAUUAUCAUGGGCUGAUUGGUCUCUUCAUCUUUAAGUCGGUGCAAUCCUUCGUCUCAAAGCGUGUCGCUAUGCCGAAGCUUCCUGGAUGGUAGCUUCGGUGUUGCUUCUGUGUUGAUCUUCCAAAGGUGUUUCUUCUUACAGGACCUUCGGCGAUGAAGCAGAGCCCCAACCGUAGCCCCUUCGUGGUGCUAGAUCGUUUUUCGUAACGAGCUUGAUCCGUGAAAAAUUCUCCAAGGCUUCGGAAUGUCGAAGGUCCAAAAAACACCUUCCCUGAGCUCGUUGCCGAGAAACGAUUAAAAUAUUCCGAGCGCGAGGUGGCCCACCAUGCAGCGGGUACGCGCGAUCUGGCGAUUCACCUCCCACGCGCCGAGUGGUCCACCUUUCAGUGGGUGCAGGUAACUGUUCAGCGGGUGCGGGGACUUGACGAUUCACCGUCACACCUGCAACACUAUAUAAACAGACUGGUAGGUGUGAAGUUACCACAGCAUUCAUUGCCAUUGCACUGUUGUGCUGCUGAAAAAUUUAACCAUAGCCGAAGCCUGUUCAUCGCAUUCUCAAUCAAAGCAUCAUCUUGAUUUAGCUUCGGCAUAAGAGAAAGCUUCGACAAAACUAUAAAAAUCAUCAACUUCGUUAGAACUGCAAGAAAUUCAACAUCAAAUGGCCAGAGUACGUUCAACUGCGAGGGUGACCCGUGACGGAGAGGAGGCCAAAGCCACCGAGACUGCCCCGAUCUCCAAAGUGAUGAGGCAAUCGAGAUUAGUUGUGUUAGAGGAAGCCAUUGAACAAGGUGCACCUGCUGUUGAAACUGAACAAGAUGUUGAAUAAGAAAUCGCUGAUGAAGAGGAAGAAGAAGAUUAUAGCAUUCUGAUCCCGUCAAAACCUAGCCACUUGGAUUUUGGAAAAUCUACCAUUUCUGAAGCUGAUAUGCCCAUGAUGAUAAAGUUAGGCUACUUCAGGGAAACUGAGAAAAAGUUGAUUCGUUUUGCUGGGGAAGAGACCACUCCGACACCGAAAAAUGAUGAGGUGGUAGUUUUCAAGAGUUUCUUCAGAGCGGGAUUGUGGUUUCCCUUGAACGAGAUGAUUGGGGAAGUUUUGGAUAAUUACGAAAUCUAUCUUCAUCAGCUGACCCCUAACACUAUUGUUAGGCUCAGCGUCUUCAUCUGGGCCCUACGAAGCCAAGGAAUGGACCCGAAUGCUGAAGCUUUUUGUCGAGUGCAUGAGCUUCAUUAUCAGACAAAGGCCAGAGAAGAUGGGCUUCGUGAGAAUUUUGCUUGUUACAACUUUGCUUACCGUAAGGAUGUGAAGGCCCCAGUGCUAAGCUACCGGACCAAGUGGCCAAAUGGUUGGAAAAGUGAGUGGUUCUAUGUGAAGGCCGACGAGAAGAAGAGGGAGAAGAUGAAGACGCUAGUGCUGAGCCCGCUGAGCUUAAGCUUUGGGUUGACUAGGCCCCUGUGCCACAUGACGUCGGGGUCACCAUGCCAACAAGCUGUGGCAGAGUUUAGGGUGGUAGCCGAACAGAUCAGCACCAGAUAUCUAGUUCAAGAAUACUUGGCUAACAGAACAUCUCCGACUUUGAGCGAAUUUAGCAUGCCGAAGCUAAAAGGAACGAAGAAGGGACUUGAGCUUGUGCGACUUCCUUAUCGGUUUAAAUUUGAGAAACAAUUUAAAGAACCUUGCCAAGAGUGGCUGGAAAUGAUUGAAACAGUGUGUAAUGAAGUGCUGGGAAAUUACACCAAAAAAGAGGAUCAACUGAUGACUGCGGCCUUUGGCACCCGACCAAAGCGAAGGUUGAAUCGGGUGAUGGAUGCCUUGAACUUUGAAUACCCUGACUAUGAGCGAUUGAACAAGGGUGCCGAAGGGCAAAAGAGAAAGAGGAUUGUUAGUGUUCUGAGCAGACAAGCUGCUAGGAUGGUGAAAGAAGACGAAGAAGCUUUAAAAAAGAGAAAAUCCAGCCCUGAGCCGAAGGUGGCUGCUCCGAAGAAGAGAAAGGUUGCAGCUCCGAAGUCAGAAACAACUGAGAUAGAGGAAGAAACUCCUUCAACACCUUCUACUGUUGAUGUAGAAGAAAUUUUAAAGGUAAUGACCGAAUCUUUACCUAUCAAGCUGCUAAGUCCACUGGGGCCGCAUUUGACGAAGCUUUUACAGAAGAAGGAGGAACCUUCGGCAGCGAAGAAGGUGGUUGGGCUAAAAAGGCGAACAAUUGUGACUGUUAUAGAAGCUAUUGAGGAAACGCCACCGCCGGCCUCAGCGUCAAAAAUAACACCAGCUGCCGAAAUUGUUGCUUCUGUCGAAGCUGCUCCUACCGAAGCUGCUACUGCCGAAGCUGCGACUGCUGAAGAAACCAAUCUGAAGAGCACAUUAUCUGAUAUUGAUAGAAUGCUCUUGGAUAUGGCCGCAGAAGAAGCUGCUGCAGCCGUCAAAGAAACCCUGGCCACAGUGCCUAAAAAAGGGAAGGAAAUCGCCGAAGAUACUUCGGAGGAAAAAGGCUUCAACUUUCAAAAUAUAAUUGGUCAAGAAUUAUCUAAGGCUGAAAAAGAGGAGCUGCAGGAGUAUGCUAUAUCCUGUGGCUACCAGCCAGGAGCGUUGCUCUUCGACGGAAUUAACGAGGAAAGCUUAGGAUGCAUCAGAGAUCAAACUGGAGCGAAGGUUAUUAGCACUCUAUCGAAGAGUGUUGGUUUCUCGAAGCUUGAAGCUGACAUCAGUCGCUACCGACGACAGCAUAUCGGCGGCAGUUUAUUCUAUUCUAAUAUCAAUGUAAAAUUUUUCCUUCGGCUUUUCAUUGUUUUACGAUGAAGGUGAUUGCUGAUGAAGGUUAUUUUGCACAGAGCAUGCUACUAAGUAAAGCCAUGAGGAUGCAACAGGACCUCGAAGAUAAGAAAAAUGAGGUUAUAAUUGAAGGCUUGGAAAGCAAAAUCAAAGAUCAUGAAGCUGCUCUUGAAAAGAAAUAUUUUGUUCUUCAAACAAUGGAGGGUUCACUGGCAGAAGCCCAAGCUAAAAUUGCCAGAUUAAACAGUGAACUCCUCAUGAAGUCAGAAAACUUCGAGCAAGAAUAGAAGGAUUUUCAUGCGAAGCUCGAAGCCGAAGUCGAGAAGAGUUCAAAUUUGCAAAAAUCGUUGAAGGAGCUUCAGGAUAAAUGUCUAGACUUCGGCAACCGGUGCGUGCAACGGCUGAAGCAGGUCUUCAACUCAGUUGGAGCUAGUUCUAAAAAAUUUGAACCUUCGGUUGAAGACCUGCCAGGCACCUUCGAACUUAUUGAGGGCGAAGUUGAUGCGCUUGACGAAGUUAUAGUUGGGCACGGUGACUUCUGUGUAGCUCUGGGCAUAAAACCCGAGCCCGCAGUUCGAAGUCUAAAAUACCCGAGCCCAUACCCGUUUAUCCCGAAGUCCGAUGCCCGAACGGUUCUAGUGGGUAACGAAACGAAAUACCCGAUUUAAAUUUGGGCCUAAUAGGGUAAUACCCGCGUUACCCGAACUACCCAAUAAACCCGAAGUAUUACCGGCGUGCUAGAUUGCCAGCCGCCAAGCCAAUGACAGGCUGCGCGCACGACCCAGUAAUUCGAUGCACAGGCGCCCAACUAAGCAGCCCAGCAACCAAGCGUCUCGACAUGGACCGUGUCCAAGCCUAAAGCCUCCAAGGUCCAAACUUGAAGGCCCGUAGCAGCUAGUGGUACUGUCAUGUGGUGUCUAAACCAUAGUCGCUGGUCGUGACGCCGUUGUUUGACUCCUCGCCUCACCUCCAAUGGCCACCACCGCCCACUAGUGUAGACGUGCAAUGUUGUAGUGGUCUGCUACCUUGCUGCUCGCUUAAGUGCCUGGCGCCUAUGUUGACUGCUAAGUGGAACGCCUGUUCUGUACUGCCUUCCUGAGUUUCUAUACUGCCUUCCUGAGUUACUGCUGGACUAUGGCCUAUGGGCGUGUGGUUGUGUGCUUGCCUGCUUUUGCUUGGUUGGUUGUUGAUUGCCCGACUAUGGAUUUGAGUUGUGAUAAACUAAUAAUGUGAUGAUUUAUCUUUGUCAGGAAGACAGAAAUAGUCAAACAGAUGUGAUGCGCUACACUUUUGCUAUGUGAAAUUUUUUAAAACAAUAAAUGCUUGUUGUGCAGUUGUGAUGCCUAUUUUUUGUUUGCUGUUGGAAAUGGAAUGUACCACAGUGAACUAAAGCAGACAAGCAGUAACUAACCUAGUUGGUUUGAAAACGGGUAGAAUGGGCUACCCAAACCCGAGCCCGAAAAAUUCGGGUACCCGAAUUAACAGGUAUACAAUACAGUCACAUUGCAUUCGGGUAUCGUUUCUAAAAACCCGAAAUUUGGAAAGCCCAAAAAACCCGACCCGAAUUUUCGAGCUAACCCGAAUGCCCACAGGUACUUCUGUGCCUUGCUAGCUUCUCGCGGCACAGCUGUUGCUUUCAUGAAGACUGGUUGCACGCAUGGGAAAAUUGUAAACAGGCCAAACUUCAGCCUAUCGCCAGCGGAUUUAACUGACAUUCCUAGCCUGGCCCGAAGCAUUGGAAAUAGGUUUAUAACACAAAUCUGGACAAAGGGAGGGCAAAACUUAGCUGGUGACGAAGCUCGAAGUCAUCUCAAGCCGGUAAUACACUUGUACCUAUUGCUUACCUUCUCCUUGAGAUUUGUGUUUACCUUAUACCACUUUGUUGUGUACAGGAUGAUGAAGCCGAAGACCAAUGAUCCGAAGCAUGACGGAUAAUGAUGAAGUGACGAAGCUGCUGCAAAAAAACUCUAGAGAAAAUUUUGAAUUAACUUUGUAAAAGAUAUUGUAAUUUAUGAAUCAAACACUGCUCUGUAAAUUUGUCCAUACCCUGUAAUAUAUUUUUACCUUUCCAUCCAUGUAUGAACUGCUUUGAUGUGGACGAAACUUGUAUUUUUUGAGCCGAAGGCGAAAAACACCUUCCCUUCUUUUCGUACACAACGAAGCAUAACUAUGCUUGUUUAUGCUCAUCGAAGCCUUGUCAUCAGAACCGAAGCAUCUGUUUGUACUCUAUGUUAUGAUGAUGAUGAUCCUACGAAUGUCUAAAUGAAUGUGUAUGAAUGCAAUGAAUGAUGUGAUGUAAUCGUGCAAAUGAAUGUCCAAACACACGCUUACGAAGCCACACCCAGACUCUGCAUCCCCUUAGGAACGACUUUGGAGUCUUCUUCACCGUUUAUUUUUUGGUGUUCACCGUUGACUUUUCGGUGUAAGUUAUGCAUCCCCUUAGGAACGACUUUUGAACUUCUUCGCCUUCUAUUUCGGUGGUAUAAGUUCUGCAUCCCCUUAUGAACGUCUUUUGAACUUCUUCGCCUUAUAUUUCGGCGGUAUUUGGCUCUGGAUUCCCUUAGGAACGACUUUUGAGCAGAAAACUUAUGUUGUGCUCCCUUAGGAACGACUUUUUGCAGCUUCGUCGUGCUCUGCAUCCUCUUAGGGACGACUUUUGAGCUUCUCCCUGGUUUGUUUUUUUUCUUCUGCACUCGAUGGUGCAUGCUUAGAUUUUCAUUUUACAUUCUUUUGGCGGAUUUUUCUCUCAUAUAGCUAAAUAAGAAAGGAAAAAUUACAAGCCAUGGCCCCAUUAAAAACCUUUCUCCCCCUUUGGAAAGGAAAAGGGUGCCAUAGGAAAAAAUGAAAAAAGAUUACAUCAAAUUACACAUAAUAUUGUCGAAGCUCAUCCGCAUUCCAAGAUCUAGGAAUGUUGUUGUCGUCCAUAUCCUUCAAUCUGUAAGAACCAAGCCUUGACGAAGAUACCACCAGAAAAGGUCCUUCCCACUUCAGCUGUAGUUUGCCUAUUGUGUCCGGAUUGACCACUCUCCGAAGCACCAAAUGCCCUGGCUUAAUAUUUUUCAAUCGAACUUUUAUGUCUCGCUAUUUUAUUGUUUCGGCUUGAUAUUUAUUGAUGUUCUCCACAGCUUGAAGUCUGGUCCCUUCUAUAGUAUCUUUUGCUAUGUGAUAAUCAGCUUCGUCCUCUGCCGAAGCUGCUGUUCUUAUUGACCCUACUUUAGCUUCUUCUAGGGUUAUAGCUUCAUCACCAAAUAAUAAUUUGAACGGUGUGAAACCUGUUGAUCUUGAUAUGGUUGCAUUGUGGAUCCACACCACUUUAAUCAAUUCAUCUGGCCACUUUCCUCUGGGCUGAUUGAAGAUUAGCUUCAUUAUUCCCGACAUUAUAAUACCAUUCGCUCUUUCGACCAGCCCAUUUGACUUCGGAUGCCUAACUGAUGCAAAAUGAAUCUUCAUGCCAAUUUGAUCACAAAAAUCCUUGAACGUUUUGGCAUCAAAAUGUGUUCCAUUGUCCACAGUUAUAGCCUUCGGCACGCCGAAGCGACAAACAAUAUUUUGCAAGAAAAAUUUCUGGACUGUAACCGAAGUUAUUGUAGCUAAAGGCUUCGCUUCAAUCCACUUGGAGAAGUAUUCUACAGCUACCACAACAUAUUUUAAAUUACCUUGCGCUGGUGCAAGUGGGCCUAACAAAUCCAGGCGCCAUCUUUGCAAUGGCCAGGUGGGCUAUAUUAGCUGAGUGAGAGAUGAAGGUUGUUUCUGGUCUCUUGCACAUUUUUUACAAUUUUCACAUUUUUGAACUAACUCUGCUGCAUCCGAAGCUGCCUUCGGCUAGUAGAAUCCUUGUCUAAACACUUUUCCCAGCAAUGGCCUAGACCCAAUAUGAGAUCCACACAGACAUGCAUGUAUCUCCUUCAUUAAUUCAAUACCUUUAGCUCUUGAUAAACACUUGAGGAGUGGAGAACAGACUCCAUGUUUAUAUAAUUCUCCUUCUAUUAUCACAUAUGGUCUUGUCCUUGCUUCCAUUCUCUUAUUAUAAGCUUCGUCAUCUGAAAGACAAUUACCUUGGUGGAAAGAUAUAAUUUCAGUCCUCCAAUCUUCACUAUGUACUGGAGAAAUAACAAGCAUUGAUCUCUCCAUGAGUUCAACCAAAGGUGCCUUUAUUGUUUCAAAAAAUACUUCUGAAGGUAGAGGGAGCCCCUGAGCCGCUGAUUUUGCUAGUAGAUCUGCAUGCUCAUUUUCGCCUCUUGGAAUAUUCUUGACAGAGAAACCUUCGAAAGAAGCCUCCAACCUUCGAACUGUAUCCAGAUAUUUUUCAAGCUUCGGGUCUCUUGCCUUGCUACUUUUGUCUACAUGGCCAGAAAUGAGUUGAGAAUCAGUUUUCAGGAUGGCCCAUCUUAUUCCCAUUGCACUUAACUUCUAAAGCCCCAACAGAAGUGCUUCGUAUUCGGCAAUAUUAUUUGUGCAACUGAAGUCAAGCCUUGCUGCAUAACAUGUUUUGACUUUCGAAGGCACGACUAGGACAGCAGCCGCUCCUGCACCAAAGGUUCCCCAAGAACCAUCACAGAACACUAUCCAAGCUUCGACGUCUUUGUUUAUUUCUUCUUCCUGAGCCCCUGGCGUCCAAUCAGUGAUGAAGUCCGCUAACGCCUGGGACUAAAUUGAAGAUCUAUGCACAUAGUCAAUAGCAAAUUCAUUAAGCUCCGCAGCCCAUUUUCCAAUCCUUCCAGUAGCUUCUCUAUUCCUCAUUAUGUCCUUCAGAGGCUGUGACGAAGGAACAAUUAUGUGAUAUGCUUGGAAAUAAUGCGGAAGCUUCCUGGAGGCCAUUAACACAGCAUAUAACACCUUCUCCAAUUCUGUAUAAUUUUUCUUUGAUAAGCUUAAAACUUCGGAGAUGAAGUACACUGGAGCUUGCUUUUUGACUUGGCCAUCUAGCUUCUCCUGUACAAGCGCCACACUUACUACGGAGUGCAAAGCCGCCACAUAUAAGAGCAAUGGAGCCCCUGGUGCAGGUGGAGUUAGUGUUAUUAAAUCAAUCAAAUAUUGCUUCAGAUCUUCGAAGGCUUUUUGUUGAACCAAUCCCCAUUGGAAAACUUCGGCUGACUUCAAUAUUUCAAAGAACGGCAAAUAUCUUUCUGCUGAUCUAGAUAUGAAUCUAUUUAAUGAUGCCAGUCUUCCUGCCAGACGUUGGGCCCCCUUCUUUGUGCUUGGCGGCUCCAUCCGAAGAAUAGCUUCGAUCUUGCUUGGGUUGGCUUCAAUUCCCUUCGUUGAUACUAAACAGCCAAGGAACUUGCCCUUCUUCACCCCAAAACACAUUUUUCUGGAUUUAACUUCAGGCCAGCUUGCCUGAAAUUGGCAAAUGUCUCUUGCAAAUCAGCAAUGUGAUUUUCUUGCUUCGUGCUUUUCACUAUGAUAUCAUCAACAUAGGUCAGUACAUUCCUGCCUAUUUGAGAAUGAAGGACCUUGGUUGUCAUUCUGCUGAAGAUUCCUCCAGCAUUUUUAAGCCCCUCAGGCAUCCAAAGAUAGCAAUAUGUGCCACUAGGGGUUACGAAGCUAGUCUUUGGCUCAUCUUCCUUCUUCAUCCAGAUUUGGUAGUAGCCUGAGUAACAGUCCAGUAGACUCAUGAGCUCUGAAGAAGCUACUGCAUGUACUAGAGAAUUUAUUCUUGGCAAUGGGAACUCAUCUUUUGGACAAGCCUUGUUAAGAUCUGUAAAAUUAAUGCACAUUCUCCAUUUACCGUUGGCCUUCUUCACCAUAACAGUGUUGGCUAGCCACUCUGGGUAUUUUACUUCUCUGAUAACGCCGGCACUAAGAAGUCUCUUCACUUCGUUCCGAGCACCUUCAGCUUUGUCGUCGGACAUUUUCCGAAGCCUUUGUUUUCUUGGCCUGAAAGAUGGAUCCACGUUGAGUGAAUGUUCAAUGACAUCUCUGUUGACACCACAAAGAUCAUUGGCUGAUCAAGCAAAGACAUCUUUAUUGUUGAAUAGAAAUCUUAUCAAAGUCUUCUCUUGCUCUUCAGAGAGCUAAGACCCCAGCAGUACCUUUUGCUCUGCUAUAUCUUCACAUAGAAGCAUAGGCUUCGGCUGAUCCGCCGAAGUAGCCUUCUCUCUUUUGUAUUUGUACUGCUCACAGACUUCGGCUCCAUCUAUAUUAUAAAUUGCCUUUGAAUCUGACCAGUUUCCUUUAGCUUUUCUGGCAGCUUCUUGACUCACAUGGACAGCAAUGGGCCCUUGUUCCGAAGGUAUCUUCAUGCAUAGGUAUGCUAGAUGAAGUAUUGCUUCAAAAUCAUUAAGUGUUCCUCGACCAAUGAUUGCAUUAUAUGGGUACUCCAUGUCAACAAUGUCAAAGACAACCUGUUCAGUCCUUGUGUUGUGGACAAAGCCGAAGGUCACUGGCAUUGUGAUUUUGCUGAGCGCUACAAUUUGCCUUCCUCCGAAGCCACAUAGAGGAUGUGUAGCAUCAUGAAUCUUAUCCUCUGGUUCUUGCAUCUGUCUGAAGGCCUUAGCAAAUAUGAUAUCCGUUGCGCUGCCUGUAUCAACCAAAACAUUAUGGACCAGAAAUCCCUUGAUGACACAAGAUAUGACCAUAGCAUCAUUAUGAGGGUAAUCUUUGAGCUGAAGGUCCUCCUAGGAGAAGGUGAUUGGGAUGUGGGACCAUUUUGAUUUAAUGAAGGGUCCCUGCACCCCCAACAUGUUGUACCCUUCUCUGUGCUUCCUUCUUCUGUUUCUUGUUAGCCGACUCUGAACUUGAGCCACCUAUUAUCGGUAGCACCAGCUUCGUAGCCGAAGGUGCUUCGACGUGGUUUUUGAACGAAGCCAUCAGCUCAAAAGUGGAAGUGAAUUCACUGGAGGUGAGCGCCAAUGUUGGGACUUGUUCUCAAAUGCUAUGAAUUAAGAACAAGGCAACACAAAAAUAGGUGAAUGGUUAAUGCCCUUUGUCCUUCGAAGCAUUAUUUCCCUACGGAUAUAACGAUCUUCGGACGAAGGUUAUGAAGGACGUACCUUCAUCAUCACAGCAUAUAACAAUGAAAGACGAAGCAUAUGAAACAUGAGAAAUAACAUGGAUAAUCAUAUGGCAUCAAAAUAUAUCUUUUGUUAUAUAAUCAUGAAUGAAUAAGAACAAUAUUAAAUUACAUUUGUACCUUCGGCUUGACAAAAAUGCAAAGGUACAGGCGUGAUGCACAAGCGAUUACAAAUCAGCGUGAACAGUACAGGGGUACUGUUCGUCUAUUUAUAGGCACAGGGCGCAGCCUGUGUGAAAUUACAUUUAUGUCCUUUACAACUAGUUACAAUCAUGACACAAAUUAUCAUGGGCUGAUUGGUCUUUUCAUCUUUAAGUCGGUGCAACCCUUCGUCUCAAGGCAUGUCGCUUUGCCGAAGCUUCCUAGAUGGUAGCUUCGGUGUUGCUUCUGUGUUGAUCUUCCAAAGGUGUUUCUUCUUACAGGACCUUCGGCAACGAAGCAGACCCCCAACAACAUCAAGCUCCGAGUCGUUCGUCGCUUCUAAGCACCAUGAGCGCAAGAAGUAUAGUAAGAUGCCCUUACGCUAUCCUCGUAUUUCAAAGCAUGCUCCAUUACUUUUCGUUCCCCUAGGCAAACCACCAUAUUUUGAUGGUGAAGAUUAUUGUAUGUGGAGUGAUAAAAUGAGGCAUCAUCUAACCUCACUCCACGAAAGCAUAUGGGAUAUAGUUGAAUUUGGAGCGCAGGUACCACAGGUGGGGGACAAGGACUACGACUCGGACGAGGCCACCCAAAUACGUCACUUUAACUCCCAAGCAACUUCUAUACUCCUCGCCUCUCUAUGUUGAGAGGAGUAUAAUAAUGUGCAAGGGUUAAAGAUCGCCAAGGAAAUUUGGGACGUCCUCAAAACGGCGCAUGAAGGGGACGAGGUGACCAAGAUCACCAAGCGGGAGACGAUCGAGGGGGAGCUCGGUCAUUUUGUCCUCAACAAAGGAGAAGAGCCACAAGCAAUGUACAACCGGCUAAAAACCAUGGUGAACCAAGUGCGCAACCUCGGGAGCACCAAGUGGGAUGACCAUGAAAUGGUCAAGGUUAUUCUAAUAUCCCUUGUUUUUUGCAAUCCUACUCAAGUGCAAUUAAUUCAUGGGGAUCCUAGAUAUAAACUAAUGUCUCCCGAGGAAGUGAUAGGCAAGUUUGUGAGCUUUGAGCUAAUGAUCAAAGACUCCAAACAUAUUGUCAACUUGGAGCAAGGCGCCACCUCCACACCCGAGGUGCAACCGGUCGCAUUCAAGGCGACGGAAGAGAAGAAAGAGGAGUCUACAUCAAGUAGGCUUCCUAUCGACACCUCCAAGCUCGACAAUGAGAAAAUGGCGCUCAUCAUCAAGAGUUUCCGCCAAAUCCUAAAGAAAAGGAGAGGGAAAAACUACAAGUCCCACUCCAAGAAGGUAUGCUACCGGUGUGGUAAGUCCAGUCACUUUAUUGCUAAAUGUCCUAUAACUAGUGAAAGUGACAAGGACGACGACAAGAAGGAGAAGAAGGAGAAGAAGAGGUACUACAAGAAGAAGGGCGGCGAUGCCCACAUAUGUCGGGAACGGGACUCCGAUGAGAGCUCCACCGACUCCUCCUCCGACGAGGACACUGCCAACAUCGCCGAUAACAAGGGCCUCCUCUUCCCAACGUCGGCCACAAGUGUCUAAUGGCUAAGGACGGCAAGAAAAAGAAGGUACACUCUAGAGCCGCCCCAAAAUAUACAACAUCUAGUGAUGAGGGUAGCUCUAGUGAUAGUGAAGAUAAUUUAAUGUCUUUAUUUGCCAACCUUAGCAUGGACCAAAAGAAAAGGUUAAAUGAAUUAAUUGAAGCAAUUAAUGAGAAGGAUGAACUCUUGGGUAGCCAAGAGGACUUCCUAAUUAAAGAGAACAAAAAAUUUGUUAAAUUGAAAAAUGCUUAUGCUCAGGAAGUAGAGAAAUGUGAAAAUUUAUCUAAGGAGCUUAUCAUUUGUCAUGAUUCAAUUUUUAGCCUUAGAAAUGAAAAUGCUAGCUUAGUUUCUAAGGUCAAAGAAUUAAAUGUUUGCAAUGAUUCUGUUUCCUGUCUUAGAGAUGAGAAUGCUAGAUUAAAAUCUAAGAUAGAAGAAUUAAAUGUUUGCAAACCAUCUACAUCUACUGUUGAGCAUGUUUCCAUUUGCACUAGAUGUAGAGAUAUUAAUGUUGAAGCUAUAGAUGAUCACCUUGCCAUGAUUAAGAAACAAAAUGAUCAUAUAGUUAAAUUAGAUGCUAAAAUUGCCGAGCAUGAGCUCGAAAAUGAAAAUUUUAAAUUUGCUCGUAGCAUGCUUUAUAAUGGGAGACGCUCUGGCAUCAAGGAUGGCAUUGGUUUCCAACAGGAGAGCAAUGUCAAACUUAAUGCCCCUAAAAGAUUGUCUAUUUUUGUUAAGGGCAAGGCUCCCAUGGUUCAGGAUAAAAAGGGUUACAUUUUAUAUCCUGCUAACUAUCCUGAGCACAAAAUUAGGAAGAUUCAUUCAUGCUAGGAAACCUCAUAAUGUUUCUCAUCAUGCAUUCAUGUAUAAAAAUGAGGCUUCUAGUUCUAGGCAUACCACUCACAUUAAAAUGCCUAAAAAGAAAAUUCCUACUACAUCAAAUGAGCAUAAUGUUUCAUUUAAGACUUUUGAUGCAUCAUAUGUUUUAACUAACAAAUCAGGCAAAGUACUUGCCAAAUAUGUUGGGGGCAAACACAAGAGUCCAAAGACUUGUGUUUGGGUACCCAAGGUGCUUGUUUCUAAUGUCGAAGGACCCAAGACUAUUUGGAUACUUAAGAAUAAAGCCUAAAUUGUUUUGUAGAUUUAUGCAUCCGGUGGUUCAAAUUGGAUAAUCGAUAGCGGGUGCACAAACCACAUGACAGGGGAGAAAAUGAUGUUCUCCUCCUAUGAGAAAAAUGAAGAUCCCCAACGAGCUAUCACAUUCGGGGAUGAAAAUCAAGGUUUGGUCAAAGGUUUGGGUAAAAUAGCUAUAUCUCCUGACCGUUCCAUUUCCAAUGUUUUUCUUGUAGAUUCUUUAGAUUAUAAUUUGCUUUCUGUUUCUCAAUUAUGUAAAAUGGGCUACAACUGUCUUUUUACUGAUAUAGGUGUUACUGUCUUUAGAAGGAGUGAUGAUUCAAUAGCUUUUAAGGGAGUGCUAGAGGGCCAGCUAUACUUUGCUUAAUUGCUAAGACUAUCAUGGGUUGGCUCUGGCAUCGCCGACUAGCCCAUGUUGGGAUGAAGAAUCUCCACAAACUUCUAAAGGGAGAACACAUUUUAGGACUAACAAAUGUUCAUUUUGAGAAAGACAGGUUGUGUAGCGCAUGCCAAGCAGGAAAGCAGGUUGGAGCCCAUCAUCCACACAAGAAUAUCAUGACGACUGACAGGCCACUCGAGCUACUCCACAUGGAUCUAUUCGGCCCGAUAGCUUACAUAAGCAUCGGCGGGAGUAAGUACUGUCUAGUUAUUGUGGAUGAUUAUUCUCGCUUCACUUGGGUGUUCUUUUUGCAGGAAAAAUCACAAACCCAAGAGACCUUAAAGGGAUUCUUAAGACGGGCUCAAAAUGAGUUCGAACUAAGGAUAAAAAAGAUAAGAAGCGAUAAUGCGACGGAAGGUUUUCUUGAGGAAGAGGGCAUCAAGCAUGAGUUCUCUUCUCCCUACACACCUCAACAAAAUAGUGUAGUGGAGAGGAAGAAUAGAACUCUACUGGAUAUGGCAAGAACCAUGCUUGAUGAGCACAAGACACCAAACCGGUUUUGGGCCGAGGCGAUUAACACUGCCUGCUACUCCAUCAACCGGUUAUAUCUUCACCGAAUCCUCAAGAAGACAUCAUAUGAACUCCUCACUAGUAAAAAGGCUAAUGUUUCAUAUUUUAGAGUCUUUGGGAGUAAAUGCUUUAUUCUUGUUAAAAGAGGUAGAAAAUCUAAAUUUGCUCCUAAAGCUGUAGAAGGCUUUUUACUUGGUUAUGACUCAAACACAAGGGCAUAUAGAGUCUUCAACAAAUCCACUGGAUUAGUUGAGGUUUCUUGUGACAUUGUGUUUGAUGAGACUAAUGGCUCCCAAGUGGAGCAAGUUGAUCUUGAUGAAUUAGAUGAUGAAGAGGCUCCGUGAGUCGCGCAAAGGAACAUGUCCAUUGGGGAUGUGUGUCCUAAGGAAUCCGAAGAGCCUCCACAAGCACAAGAUCAACCAUCAUCUUCCAACCAAGCAUCUCCACAUACCCAAGAUGAGGAUCAGGCUUAAGUUGAUGAAAAUGAAGAUCAAGAGAAUGAGCCACCUCAAGAGGAGGACAAUGAUCAAGGGGGAGAUGAAGAAAAUGAAGACAAGGAAGAUGAUCAAGAAAUUCAGGGUCAAAGACCGCCACACCCAAGAGUCCACCAAGCAAUUCAACGAGAUCACCCCGUCAACUCCAUCCUUGGUGACAUUCACAAGGGGGUAACCACUAGAUCUCGAGUUGCUCAUUUCUAUGAACAUUACUCUUUUGUUUCCUCUAUUGAGCCAUACAGGAUAGAGGAUGCGCUAAGAGAUCCGGAUUGGGUGCUUGCAAUGCAAGAUGAGCUCAACAACUUCACAAGGAAUAAGGUAUGGUAUUUAGUUACACGUCCUAAUCAAAAUGUUGUAGGUACCAAGUGGGUAUUCCGCAACAAGCAAGAUGAGCAUGGUGUGGUGACAAGGAACAAAGCCCGACUUGUGGCCAAAGGUUAUUCACAAGUCAAAGGUUUGGACUUUGAUGAAACUUAUGCACCCAUAGCUAGGCUUGAGUCAAUUCGUAUAUUACUUGCCUAUACUACUUACCAUGGCUUUAAGUUUUACCAAAUGGACGUGAAAAGUGCCUUCCUCAAUGGACCAAUCAAGGAAGAGGUCUAUGUUGAGCAACCUUCCGGCUUUGGAGAUAGUGAGUACCCUAACCAUGUGUAUAAGCUCUCAAAGGCGCUUUAUGGGCUCAAGCAAGCCCCAAGAGCAUGGUAUGAAUGCCUAAAAGAUUUUCUUAUCACUAAUGGCUUCAAAGUCGGUAAAGCUAAUCCUACUCCUUUUUACUAAAACUGUUGCAAAAGAUUUGUUCGUAUGCCAAAUUUAUGUUGAUGAUAUUAUAUUUGGAUAUACUAACAAAUCAACUUGUGAAGAGUUUAGUAGGAUCAUGAUACAGAAAUUCGAGAUGUCUAUGAUGGGGGAGUUGAAGUAUUUCCUUGGAUUCCAAAUCAAGCAACUCCAAGAGGGCACCUUCAUCAGCCAAACAAAGUACAUUCAAGACAUACUUAAGAAGUUUGGGAUGAAGGAUGGCAAACCCAUCAAGACUCCCAUGGCAACAAAUGGGCAUCUCGACAUUGACACGGGAGGUAAAUCCGUAGAUCAAAAGGUAUACCGGUCGAUGUUAGGAUCUUUACCCUAUUUAUGUGCAUCUCGACCGGAUAUUAUGCUUUCUGUAUGCAUGUGUGCAAGGUUCCAAGCCAAUCCUAAGGAAGUUCACCUUAGGGCCGUGAAGAGAAUCAUGAGGUAUUUAGUUUACACUCCUAAGUUUGGGCUUUGGUUCCCCAAGGGAUCCACUUUUGAUUUAAUAAGAUAUUCUGAUGCCGAUUGGGCAGGGUGUAAAAUUGAUAGAAAGAGCACAUCAGGUACUUGUCAGUUUCUAGGAAGAUCCCUGGUGUCAUGGGCUUCAAAGAAACAAAACUCAGUAGCUCUUUCCACCGCCGAAGCCGAGUAUAUUGUCGCAGGCCAUUGUUGUGCGCAAUUACUUUGGAUGAGGCAAACCCUCAGGGACUAUGGCUACAAAUUGAGCAAAGUCCCUCUCCCAUGUGAUAAUGAGAGUGCAAUCCGCAUGGCGGAUAAUCCCGUUGAACACAGCCGCACUAAGCACAUAGACAUUCGGUAUCACUUUCUGACAGAUCACCAACAAUGGGGGGAUAUCGAAAUAGCUUAUGUAAUCACCAAAAAUCAAUUAGCCAAUGUCUUUAUGAAGCCAUUAGAUGAGAAAACCUUUAGCAAACUUAGGAAUGAGCUAAAUAUACUUGAUUCUCGGAACUUUGAGUGAAACAUUGCACACAUAGCUCAUUUAUAUACCUUGAUCAUGUCUCUUUCAUUGUGGUACAAAUGCAUAUUUCUUAUUAUUCUUGUACCAAGACUAUGACUAAUGUGUUUCCAAGUGUAUUUCUAUACUAAGUCGUAGAUUGAAAGGGAAAUGGAGUAUUCGGCAAAGACAAGGCUUCCACUCCAACUCUGACGGUAUCAUUUACACUUUGUUGUUACUCCCACACAUCUCUCAAAUUGGUAUAAUCUUUCACUCAUAUAUCUUUUACCAAUGGGGGAGAAAGUAUGAAAGGGCUCUCAAAGUCUCCGUUUUUGGCGAUUAAUGCCAAAGGGGGAGAGAAUAUUAAGCCCAAAGCAAAAGGACUGCACCACCACCAUUUCAAAAAAAUUCGAAAUCAAGUUUUAAUUGGCAUUUGUUAAUUUGUAUUUAUGCUUCACUUAAGUUGUGAAAAUAAAAUAUCAAUUGGUAUAUAAUUUACAAUUAAUUCUUCAAUUGGUAUCUUUAAAAGUCAAAUUUUCAAAUUGGUAUCUAUUUCAAAACCCUCUUGAAAGCUAAGAGGAGAAUUUCAUUUAGGGGGAGUUUCAUUUAGUCAAAGAAAAACAUUUGAAAUAGGGGGAGAAAUUUCAAAUCUUGAAAAUGCUUCUCGCAAUCUUAUUCAUAUACCUUUGACUAUUUGAAAAAGAUUUUCCAAAAUUAUUUGCAAAAACAAGUGGUGCAAAUGUGGUCCAAAAUAUUAAAUAAAAGAAAAGCAAUCCAUUCAUAUCUAGUGAGAUUAUCAAUUGGUUUAAUUCCAAGUAACCUAUGCACUUACCAUAUGCAAACUAGUUCAUUUCUGCACUUUAUAUAUUUGCUUUGGUUUGUGUUGGCAUCAAUCACCAAAAAGGGGGAGAUUGAAAAGGAAAUAGGGUUAACCUUUUCCUACAAUUAAUUUUGGUGGUUGAAUGUCCAACACAAACAUAUGGACUAACUAGUUUGCUCUAGAACUCAUGUAUUACAGGUGCAUAAGGUUCAACACAAACCAAUAAAAGAUUCAAGUUAGGGAUUAAAUUGAUCCGGAGCAAAGUCUUGAGUGUGUUGUGGUUUGGCGCACCGGACAGUGUCCGGUGCACCAUGCCCGUAUGAAAGGGAAAUAGGGUCAAACCUUUUCCGAAAUAAUUUUGGUGGUUGAAUUGCCCAACACAAAUGAUUGGACUAACUAGUUUGCUCUAGAUCAUACAUUCUACAGGUGCCAAAGGUUCAACACAAAUCAAUAAAAAGAACAAGUUAGGCUUCAAAAGAAAGGAGCAAAAAGGAAACCGAAGUGUGCCCUGGUCAGGCGCACCGGACUGUCCGGUGUGCCACCGGACAGUGUCCGAUGCACCAUCGGACAGUGUCCGGUGCAUCAAGGUGAAUCAACUCCAACUCCACAGCUUCAGGUUUCCCAGGCGCAGCUCCGAUAAUUCACCGGACUGUCCGGUGUGCCACCGGACUGUCCGGUGCACCAGCGGAGCAACGGCUAUCUGCGCGCAACGGUCGACUCUGUCGGAUGAACAGUGCAGCACAGUAACACAGCAGAAGUCAGAGCAGCAGGUCAUAGGGGCACUGGACUGUCCGGUGCCACAUGAGGACAAAGCCUCCAACGGUCGACCAGCUCCAAGCCCUAACGACAGGGUGACGUGGCGGCACACCGGACACUGUCCGGUGCGCCCAUCGCCAGCAGCCUUCUCCAAUGGCUACAAUUUGGUUGGUGGCUAUAAAUACCACCCCAACCGGCCACUUCAAGGGGUGGGAGCCCAAGCAACAUUCCAAGUCAUAUAGUUGACAUAUUCAAGCCCUCCCAACCACCUCUAUUCAUUGAUCCAUCCUAUACACAAGAUUUAGACCACUACAACGCACACAAGUGCCACAAAAGAGAGAGCAAGCAAAAGAAAAUCUCUCGUGUUAGUUUAGCUCUAGUGCCUUGUGAGAUUCAUUGAGAGAAAGUGUGUGCUUCAUUUUGCGUUCAUUUGUGCGUGGAGUUUUGACUCCCAUUGAACUUCCUCCAAAGUUUUGGAGGCUUGUAAAGCUAGCAAGAGACACCUAAGUGUGUGGUGAUCCUUGCGGGGUCUUAAGUGAUCCUUGAGAAGAAGAAGAGCUCGCCGAUCUUGGGAUCGGUUGAGAGAGGGAAAGUGUUGGGGACCUUCGGCGUCCGAAGGUCCUCAAAAACAGGAUUUAACAGUAUUUCUGUAGUACAAUGUGUGAACAGGUACCCUCGGACUAAAGUCGGCAUUGCAGUAGACCGGAAUAAUACAAAGCUUGAUACAGAGCCGAAGGUGUUGAGCAGGAAAGCUUCGGCGUAACAGCAAAGAGUGGAACCGACUUAAAGAUGAAAAGGCUAUUCAGACCUCGAUAGACUACUAUAGAGUUAUUAUCAAAUGUAAAGGGCAUGAAUGUAAUUUUGUAAGGGCUGUGUCCCGUGUCUAUAAAUAGGUGAACAGUAUCCCCGUACUGUUCACGCUGACUUGGCAUUCGCUUUUUGCGUCACGCUUGUACUGUCAUUUCCUUCCGAUUGAAGGUACACUUGUAGUUCAAUAAUAUUUUUGUUUAUGCUCAAUAAUAAUAAAUGAUUGUUCCUGUUUUCUUUUACAUUCUUUAUAUUUCAUCCUUCGUCAUUGUUUGAAUUUAUGAAGGUAUGACCUUCAUAACCUUCGUCCGUAAGUCAUUAUAUCCUAGGGGAAAUAAUGCUUCGGAGGACGAAGGGCGUUAACGAUUAACAUUUUCUAUGUUGCCUUGUUCUUAACUAUUAGCACUUGAGAACAAGUCCCCAACAUUGGCGCCCACCUCCGGUGAACUCACUUCCAUUUCUUGAGCUUUUCAACACCUUCGACAAGCAUCACCUUCGUCAUGCCGCCGAAGAAGGCUUCAGCACCAGGGGCUGGCACGCUGCAGCCGCUGGACCCCAAUCAAGACGUCCUUUCUCUUAGAGAGGCACGAAGCCAGAAGAGGAAGGCUACCAGUCCAACACCUCCGGAGGAUGAUCUAGAUCAGGAGAUUCAAAAUCUGGAAAUCCUUCAGCAGCAGGUUCAACGCAAGAAGGAGAAGAUGGCCAGGCUAGCUGAACUGCAGAGGCAGAUAGAUGAAGCCUCUGAAAAAGUUCGUCAUCUUGCUCAGGAUGAGCAACACCGAAGGCCUCAGCAUCAAGACCUUCAUCAGGAGGGCUUUCCCAACGAAGAUGACUGGUAUGACAAUUUCCAUCAUGGGAAUUUUGUUUUUGAUGAUGCUUCUCCCCUGUCCGCUGAGUUACAGGCUACACCUUGGCCUCCGUCCUACAAGCCGCCUCAGCUCCCCGUAUUUGAUGGCCACUCAGACCCGAAGCAGUUUUUGAUGAGCUACGAAGCAACAGUGUCUUCGUACGGUGGCAAUGCUUCAGUCAUGGCCAAAUCUUUCGUUAUGGCUGUCAGAAGUGUUGCUCAAACCUGGUAUUCCUCCCUUCGACCAGGAACGAUCACUUCAUGGCAGAAGCUGAAGGAUUUGUUGUUAACCAGCUUUCAAGGAUUUCAGACGAAGCCGGUCACUGCUCAGGCUCUGUUCCAGUGCACUCAGGACCACGAAGAAUACCUUCAGGCAUAUGUCCGAAGGUUCUUGCGUCUGAGGGCACAGGCACCAACGGUGCCCAAUGAAAUUGUCAUCGAGGCCAUGAUCAAGGGGCUUCGGCCAGGUCCGUCAGCUCAGUACUUCGCCAGGAAGCCUCCUCAAACUUUGGAGAAGCUUCUCCAGAAAAUGGAUGAAUACAUUCGGGCCGACAAUGAUUUUCGCCAAAGAAGGGAGGAGGCUUUCAGGUUUUCUGAAAUGACCAGGGGCUUCGGAGGGAGGUUUUACCCGAGGCAUGUGAGAUCAAUUCACAAUUCUACACAAAAUGAUGACAGAGGAAGCCAACAACAAAGGCCACAAUGCUCCUCACAGGCUUCUGGACAACAGCAAAGCUCCUUCCGGCCACCAGCUCCAAGAGGCAGAGGCGCCAGGGGCUUCGGAGGAAGAUUUGGCGAUCAACCGAGAAGAAUCUUUUGCUUAUUCUGCGGUGAGAACAAAGGCCAUACUACCAGGAUGUGCCAUGUUACUAUACAGAAGCAAAAGGAAAUAGCUGAAGCAGCAGCACAACAAGCCCAGCCGAAGCAGGUCAUGCAUACAGCUUCGUAUCAUUCGCCCUACAUCCCAGAAUAUGUGGGCAACCAUCCUGCAGUCUCUGCUGCUUCGGCGAGUCAGCCUCAAGCUUCCUGGCAACAGCCUCCGCCUCCACCUCCGUUGCAACAAGGCCAGCAGCCAGAAGGGAGCCAAUAUGCUCCGCAUCAAAGGGACUUCAGAGAACAGUCCGAAGCUCGCACGGUCAAUAGCACUGUGCCAGAAUCAAAGCACAUCUAUUGACAAAUAUCCUACCUUAAUAGCAAUCUUUUUCAUUCAGUUUUAUUUUCUGUAAUAAAGGACAUUGUUUAGGUUUUAUGUAAUUAGUUUCGUUGAUUCCUACAAGAGAAAUAUGUUUUCUUCACAGGCUUGUGAUAAUAAAAAGGACCUUCGGACUAUCGAAAAUUCUUCGAAGCAACAAAAAGUCGUUCUAAGGAACGUAGAGUAAGUUUGACGAAGUCACAAAAAGUCGUUCCGAAGGGAGCGCAGUGUAAGUUUUCUGCUCCAAAGUCGUUCCAAAAGGAAUGCAGAGCAUACAGCGAAAAGUCAACGCUGAUACCGCCUAAGUAAAAGGCGAAGAAGCUCCAAAGACGUUCCUAAGGGAAUGCAGAGCUUACAGCGAAAAGUCAACGCUGAUACCGCCUAAGUAAAAGGCGAAGAAGCUCCAAAGACGUUCCUAAGGGAAUGCAGAGCUUACAGCGAAAAGUCAACGCUGAUUCCGCUGAAGUAAAAGGCGAAGAAGCUCCUAAGGGAGGCUUAUAGCGAAAAGUCAAUGCUGAUUCACAAAAAGAUUAUGUGUUUUAUCGCGCAAAUAUGCGUGUAUCUUCGGAAUAUCACCUUACAUAGCAUAGCAUCAUCACAUCAUCUUUGCAUAACAUAAGCAUCAUACAUCAUACUGCAUGUGGCAUAAGGAAAUAUGAUAUCAAUCUUCGGAAAAACGCUUUGAAAAAGGGGCAAAUCAUGCCAAGUAACAAGGAGAAACAAUAUUGAUCUCUGAAGUAUAGCCUUGAAGAAUGUUUCUACGAAGCUUCAAAACUUUCCAGGAUACUUCGGAUAUUGUUGUGAUAAAUGGUAAUUCUUCUUCACGAAGCAUGAAAAGAAGGGAAGGUGUUUUUCGCCAAAGACUCAAAAAAGGUACGUAUGUAAAGUUUCAUGCAUCGUAAAGAAUUGAACCAUAAAGAAAAAUAAAACAAAUAUGUUACAUACAGGAUUACAAGAUAUUACACAUGUUACAUUUAAAAUGUUUUUACAAUAGCAUCUAGUCUUCCCUAAGUACCACUUCUGCAGCUUCGUUCAACAGUCGAUCGACAACUUCAUCCAUAAUAGCUUCAGCCAUCUUUUUAAUCUCAUCGUCACCCUUAGGCCGUGCACCCGGAGAUACUUCAGUAGGAUCUGAGGAAGGACAGGACACGGCUACUUUGCUAUUACAAAUCAUAAACAAAUCUUAAAGCCUAAGAUUACAACACGAUAAAAACUAUUAGUUGAUACCUAAUUGACCUUCGGCCUCUGCGCUCUUUUUAGCAGCCUCAGCUACUUCUCUAGCAUCGUGAAUCCCCUUUUCACUUCUUCGAAUAAUUUCUCCGGCCAUCUCUCGGCCACCAUUAUCCCAGAUAUUAGUAAAAAACUUUCCACCAAUUAUACUAGCUUCGGCCGAAGGAUCUUUUGUAUCUUCAAAGGACAAAGCAGCUUCGGACUGUGCUAAAAUUUUUACAUGUUCACAGCCCUCCUUCUCUAAGAUAGUGGCAAUCCCUCUGGCGCCAGAGAAGGCACAUAUAUCUCCUCGGCUAUUUAAAAUUUCUUCAAAGGCUUCGGCUUCGUGGUUAAUCCAUUCGAUGACACCUUCGGGAUUGCCUCUUGAAAAGUUUUCCUCACUUGAGAAUGCGCCGACCUUGGCGAAGCUAGCCUUUAAUUUCUUGACACAAUCUAUAGAUUUAUUGUAGCAUCUCUUUUUGGACGAACGAAGCUCUUCAACAGUCACUUCUAGGUGAUCUGCCCAUUGAUCGCUGAGUUCACGCUUUGUUUCUUCAAGUAUGCGUUCUUCCUUGGCUCUGGCCAGUUGUUUCCGAAGGUCUUCAAUUUCGCGUUUCUGAGCUUCAGCUUGAAUUUUAAAAGCAGCUUCGUCCUCUUUUAUUUUAUUUAUCAAUGAGUAUAAUAUUUUGUCUUUUUCGAGACCUUCGUUCCUCAGUUCAAUUACUUCGGAACGAAGGUUGCUCAGGGCUAUUGUACACCCUUCGUCUUCAGCAUCUUUCUGUGCUCUAAGAGCAUUGCUAAGUAUCAAGCCCUGCAAAAAGAAAUAUGUGUGUGUGUCAGUGGGUUUAAACGAACAGAAAAAUACAAGGAUUUCAUAUAUCGUACCUUUAAGCUAUUGUAAGCCAGGCUGUCGGCCAGAUCGUUCUUCGACAGCACUGAGAGCCCGUCUUCUAAAGUCGGGAAUCCGAAGCUCUUGCUCAUCUCCCGGCAGACAGAAAUUUCCUUGCUGUCGGGAAGACAAUACAAGAAGUCUUCUUCUCCACUGCCAUUAAAUAUUAACGCCCCCUUUGGAUAUUUCAGUUUUUGGGCAUAAUGCUGGGCCUCUUGUUCUUCUUUUUCUGAUAAUUUUUUCCCCGAAGCAUGACGGAAAAUAUAAUCACGAAUUUUGGGGGAUGCUUCGGGGGCAACAACACCGGUUUCUUCAACAAAAGUUGGCUUUGUUAUUUUUUCUGCCUCACUUUCCAAAGGUUUUCCCUUUACGGGCUCUGAGGGCCCAGCUUCGGCUUCAGCCCCUUGCUCUGGGAUUGUAGAACCAGAAGUUUCAACUGUUGUUUCAGGAGUAACAGCAGCCUUCUUCGGAGGUGUGCUCAAAGAUUUGAUCGUUUCUAGUACAUCUAGCACAUUAGCCAUUCUCUUUCUCUUCGGAGUUACGGCUGGCACUUUUUCAUUUUUUGCUGUCCCAAUGAUUGCUGUAGGACUCAAAACUUCUGAUGUUUUGGAGCCCUCAGUUGUUUCCUUUAUCUCUUCCAUUUUUUCUGUGAAUGGCGCUUCGGCCUUCUCUUUCGUUUCUGGUAACAAAAUCUUUGAUUGCUCCAAUUUUGUCUUUGUUGGCACUUCGGCCGUUUCUGCGACUUCUGGCAGCAAAGUUGGCUCGGCUGGUUUUUUUAGCUUCGGUGGCCGAAGAAGUUUCUCCGGUAAACUCAGGCACCGAAGCUGGUUCAAUAUAGCGCGGCCGAUGCGUGAGAACCUUUAUCUUCUUCCUUUUCGGUUCUGGCUCGCUAGGAGCAGCUGCAGUUUCUUCUUUUGCAGAGGUUGUGUUUUUUCUUUUCUGCCUUCGGGUGGGAUAGCAAUAGUCAGGGUAGACAAACCCAAUAGCAUCAAAUACCCGAUUCAGCCUCUUCUUUUUUCGGCCUCCGAAGGCUGCUGACAUUGCAGUAUCUUCGGCCUUCGAGUAGGUACCAAGCAGCUCAUCACUUAAAUUAUCAAUGCUUUUCAACCACUCAUCAUCUGGUUCAAUAAAUUUAUCUCCAAACUUAAAAGUGUACUUAAACCUGACAAGUCCACCUUCGUCGGCCUCUUUAAUGGUUUCUUGUGGCAUUUCCCAUUUCUCUGCAAGCGGCCACACCCUGAAAGCGAUGUGCUCUUGUACUAAGUCCCUUGUUCCUAUAAAAGAACAGACAAUGCCGAAGGCUCUCUGGCAUUCUUCGGCAGCUUCAUUCAUUUCAACCUUCGGCCUGCGAAGGCCGAAGCUUUGCCAAAUAGGGCGCAUAAUUAUACCCUUGAUAUCUUCUCGUGCUUUCAGAUCAUUUUUUACAUAGAACCAUUCUGUCAUCCAGCCGCUGGGCCAUCUUUUCCGAAAAGUUGGCACGGGGCAGCUUGAUCCAGACCGAGAAACAAAAUUGUAGCAGCCAAAGUUAUUGUGAUACUGUUCCUUACCCCAAGGUAUUGUCUCGUAUGAUAAUUCGUGCAUAUUGCAGAAACUUUUUGCAUCAGGCUUCAGACCUUGGCUUCGCACGGCCCACACAAAGAUAUUCAGCCUUAUGAUUGCCUCGGGGGUAAGUUGGUGAAGAUAGACUUCAAAAAUCUUCAGCACCUCCACGUCGAAGCUGCUCAAGGGCAAUCGCAGCCCAGCCUUCAAAAAGCUUCGGAACACUACGACUUCAUUCUCUUCGGGGUGUGGACAAGUCUUCUCCCCUUCGUCGGCCCUCACAACGGACAAAUCCCGGAAAUACCUUCCUCUCAUGUUAACAAGAUGAUUCUCUUUGAUAGUUGAUUUACCAUAAACUGAAUGGCUUGGUCGCCAGGGGCGAUCUUCGGAGUCUUCGCCACCACUGUCCACAUCAUAACUUUCACUGUCACCAGUAUCUUCAGACAGCCCUUCUAGAAUCUCCUUGGUGAUUUUUUCUGUGUUGGUCUUCGACAUCGCUAUAAGAAAUCCUAAGUUCUUCUCUUCAUCAAGACUCAGCUUCAUCUCAGCAGCAGCCUUCUUAGCAGCUUCAGACAUCUUCGGAAACACUAAAAAACUGUUUUCAAAGUCGAAGCUUCAAAGCUGAAAGCUUAGCAAAUCACAGCGCACAAGAGCUAAAAAUUGAGUGAGCGGGAGUGGUUGGCCAGAAAGCGUGCAAAAUGAGUUUGCGGUAUGGCCGUAUUUAUACGCUCGGUGCGUUGAAAGUUGAAAGACCCCACUUGUCAUUGAAUGUUGCUAUUCUAGCAAAGGGAAGGUGUUUUUUCGGACCUUCGGCGUAAAGCCUUCGUCCAUAUCGCAAUCUAAAUUUAUUAUUUCAAACAAAUUAAUAUUGCGAGGGGCUACUGUUGGGGACCUUCGGCGUCCGAAGGUCCUCAAAAACAGGAUUUAACAGUAUUUCUGUAGUACAAUGUGUGAACAGGUACCCUCGGACUAAAGUCGGCAUUGCAGUAGACCGGAAUAAUACGAAGCUUGAUACAGAGCCGAAGGUGUUGAGCAGGAAAGCUUCGGCGUAACAGCAAAGAGUGUAACCGACUUAAAGAUGAAAAGGCUAUUCAGACCUCAAUAGACUACUAUAGAGUUAUUAUCAAAUGUAAAGGGCAUGAAUGUAAUUUUGUAAGGGCUGUGUCCCGUGUCUAUAAAUAGGUGAACAGUAUCCCCGUACUGUUCACGCUGACUUGGCAUUCGCUUUUUGCGUCACGCUUGUACUGUCAUUUCCUUCCGAUUGAAGGUACACUUGUAGUUCAAUAAUAUUUUUGUUUAUGCUCAAUAAUAAUAAAUGAUUGUUCCUGUUUUCUUUUACAUUCUUUAUAUUUCAUCCUUCGUCAUUGUUUGAAUUUAUGAAGGUAUGACCUUCAUAACCUUCGUCCGUAAGUCAUUAUAUCCUAGGGGAAAUAAUGCUUCGGAGGACGAAGGGCGUUAACGAUUAACAUUUUCUAUGUUGCCUUGUUCUUAACUAUUAGCACUUGAGAACAAGUCCCCAACAGAAAGGGUUGAAAGAGACCCGUCCUUAGUGGACUCCUCAACGAGGACUAGGCCUUCAAGGGCCGAACCUCGGUAAAACAAAUCACUCGUGUCUCGUGUGUUUAUUGCUUUGUGAUUUGUUUGUUCUCUCUCUUUCUAAGUUCUCUUGCUCUACUCUUUGCUAACAUUAUUUUGUGUUGCUUCAAGUCAAAUUCUCAUUUAGAGAAGCAACUCAUUGCAAGAAAGAACUUGUGUUUAUCUUCUUCUUAACUAAGCCCUCUUGCAUUAUUUUCCACUAACAUUUCUAAUAUUAUUGUUAUUGAUUAAAUUCCGCACUAUUUGAAAACAAUACUCAUUGCAAGCAAAGGACUUAGUUUUAUACUUCGAUAAUUGUGAAUCUUGUUCUAACCACUAAUCAACGGAUCUAGUUUGGAUUUAGUAUUAUAAUUUUCAGGUUUCGCCUAUCCCCCCCCCCCUUUAGGCGAUUUUCAAUUGGUAUCGGAGCUAAGCACUUCAUAUUGAGUCUAACAACUCGAAGUGAUGGCUCGUAGAAGAUCCCAAAAGAACAAGAAGACCAAGGAGAACAAGGAGGUAACUCUUGAGAUAUUACUUCCCGAUUGUUCUAAUUAUGAUUCAUGGUCUACUAGGGUGAUAAAUGCCCGUAUAAAUCUGGAGCAGCCACUCUCAGGAAAACGCAGGCGCACUCCGCUAUAAUUCACUGGACUGUCCGGUGUGCCACCGGACUGUCCGGUGAGCCAGCGGGGUAAUGGCUACCUGCACGCAACGGUCGACUCUGACAGCGCUACAGUGUCGCGGCAGAAGUCAGAGCAGCGGGUCAGAGGGGCACCAGACUGUCCGGUGAUUCAAGUUAGGGAUUAAAUUGAUCUGGAGCAAAGACUUGAGUGUGUUGUGGUUUGGCGCACCGGACAGUGUCCUGUGCACCAUGCCCGUACAAAUCCGAAGCACCCACUCUCGGGAAAACACAGGCGCACUCCGCUAUAAUUCACCGGACUGUCCAGUGUGCCACCGGACUGUCCGGUGAGCCAACGGGGUAAUGGCUACUUGCGUGCAACGGUCGACUCUGACAGCGCUACAGUGUCGCGGCAGAAGUCAGAGCAGCGGGUCAGAGGGGCACCGGACUGUCCGGUGCCACAAGCAGACAAAGGCACCAACGGUCAACUGCUCCAGAACCCUAAUGGUUGGGUGACGUGGCGGAACACCGGACACUGAACAGUGUAUGUCCGGUGGCGCACCGGACAGUCCCAUCGACAGCAGCCUCCCCAACGGCUACCUUGGUGGUUGAGGGCUAUAAAUACCCCCAACCACCACAACUUCAAGGAUCCAAGUUUUCUGAAUAUCACAUUCAAUACAAGAGCUCUAGCAUUCACUCCAAGACACAAUACAAAAGAUCAAAUCCUCUUCGAGUCCCAAAUCCACUCCAAACACUUAAUGGCUUGUGAGAGAGAGAUUUUUAUGUUCAUUCGAGUUCUUGUCGCUUGGAUUGCCUUUCUUCUUUUCAUUCUCUUACUCUCAAGUGCUUUGUAAGUGAAGCAAGAGACACCAAGUGUGUGGUGGUCCUUGCGGGGUCUUAGUGACCCGUGAGAUCAAGGAAGAAGGCUCACUCGGUCUAAGUGACCGUUUGAGAGAGGGAAAGGGUUGAAAUAGACCCGGUCUUUGUGACCUCCUCAACGGAGACUAGGUUCUUUGGAAUUGAACCUCGGUAAAAUAAAUCACUGUGUUCAUUCGCUUGAUUCUCAUUUGAUUUGUUUUCCCCCUCUCUCCCGGACUUGAUUUUAGUUCUAACACUAACCUCGGCUUAUAGUGUGUGUUUAAAGUUGUAAAUUUCACAUUACGCCUACUCACCCCCCUCUAGGCGACUUUCACCUUCCUCUGAUUAAACUUGAAAAUCAAGAACACAGUCGAAGUAUAAAAUCUCUGCGGAACCCUCAGCUCAAUUGGUGUCUACCUAGAGAGAAAACUAGGAGCUCUAGAAUGAGUGCUCAAAACAAAUGGCAGCCAAGAGAUGCUGAACUAACCAGCCCUCCCCUCUAUUUAUAGAGGGUUAUUCUCACUUCCUAAACUACCCCUAUUUACAUAGAGCCUAUCCACUGCACCGAAGGCGAAAUGGAUCAACUCCUAGGUUUUCGAUCUGACGGCCACGUCCUUCACACGGAGUUGCUUCGCCUUGAUGCACCCUCGGCGAUCACGCCGCGUGCCGCCACCGCUUCCCUCCGGAACCGCCACCGCCGAGUUUUGAGGCCCAAACUCAGCAAAACCCGCCAUCCGUAGCGCUGGGUGGUUUUGAGGCCCAAACCAUCAAACCUGCCAUGAGUACCGCACCUCGUGCACGUCCUCCACGAUCAGACAUGUGUCCUGCCAGUCCUCGACCACGCCGGCAACACUGUCCACUCCACCACGUCCUCGCACAAGUGUGUGUCCGACGUGUCAGCCACCGCAGUUGGUCACCUGGCUGCUCUGAUCCGUCAGUCAAGACCCAGCACUCGCCCUUCACCGCAUUGGUCCAUGAGCACGAGCCCGCAUGACCUUCACCUCAGCCGUCGACCAUCGUUCCUAUGCUCCACACCUACACACCACAAGUCGACCGAUAUGGUUAUACAAGCAUAAUCUCACACUCUGGUUAGUCCACUGACUACCCCAGAGUGCUACCCGUUGACAAUCACUCAUCAUCAACCCGAACCACAAGAGACAAGUCAACUUUGUGUUUGCACUAGAAGACGAAAUUCAGGUUUGCGAUAUUUAUUAGCCUUUCACGAUGACGGAAGCCACUACCAGCCGAUAUACAUCUAUGACCACAAGUACAAAUGUUUUGUGUACUAGUGAGUAUACUAUGAACUUAUUUGGUUUAGCUUUUUUUAGGAGCUUUUCUGAGAAUCUGGCUGUGGAAAGAAUUUGAGUAUCGUGGAGAUUACAUACAUACGGAGGAAGAUAAAAGAGUUUAUAGAGUUUAGGAUUUAGAAAGUGCAUUGUUUCCUACUAUCGAAACGACUCGACUGAUUCUAUUUUCAUGUUAAUUUUGGAUAGUUUGAACUAAAAUGAUUCUCAUAGAAGCAGACUCAAAAGCUACGCGUUUGGCAAUCUGCAGCAGCUUCUGGUGGUCAGAACCUGAAAAAAACUGAAACAAACAAGGUAUAUGCAUGUUUGAAUGCACUAGUACUAAUAUUUAAGUCAUAAAAUAAUCUAAAGACAUCCAAAAAGUUUAGGUAACGGUUUAACUACUUUUAGUCAACUGUUAACUACUAGCUCUAGUACAUUUAAACACUCAUAUAAUUAAAUGUAUACCAGAGAACUUAAUAUGAAACCAAGUACAUGAUCAGCUGGCGUAAUACAUCACGUCUUAAUAAAUAAUCCAUCCGAAAUAGAAUAACGCUUGUUCAGUUAAACAGUACAAGUCUUCAAAUUAUCAACGGAUCGAUGGAGACAUGAGAGCAAAUUACGUACAACCUUGGCACACCUAGCAAGCUUGGAACAUGACCGAUCAGAACUAGAGCUACAGAACAAUACUGCAAGUACCAAUUAAUCAUUCUUCAUGGUCGUCGGUCAAAUUAUUAGCGAUAGUUUGACUUGGUUUAAUGCUUUCCACGAUGUGAUAAGCUGAUAAGAGCAUAGCAGCCUAUAAGACAUUUUGUUUUUUUAUACACUAUUAACUAAAAUGUUUUAUACGUAGUAAUUUAAAACGGAGGGAGUACUAACUAGUAGCCAAAAGAAAAGAAAAAACUCGCCAUUAUUUCUAUAGGAAGUCCACAUCAAUCCAGCGAUAGCAGCUGCGACCGUUGACACUUGCAUAACAAGAAAGACGUACAUGCCUGCAUUAAUAUAAUUGUUAGGGUUAGUUUCGGAAUCCCAUUUUCCUAGUGGAACGUUUGGAUCCUUUUAUUUCAGAGGAAUUGAAAAUCAAUUAAUAAAGUAACCUAUUUAGCUUAGAAUUUAUCAUUUCACUAAUUUCUAAAGUUUUGAUAUAAGUUUAUCUCAAAUUCAUUAGGCGAAGGAUGGAAAUGAUUUUAUGUAUUCCUAAAAUUUGUUUAUACUCUCUAACUUACAAGACGAUCUUAGACCAACUCCAGCAGUCUCCGCAUGCGGCUCCGUAUCUCGUUUUUUGCACAGCGUAGCAUACUAUUCAUCAGUCCAGCAGACUCCGUAUCCGUCUCCAUAAAAAGCACGCCGUGUACCUGCACUCCCCUUUUCCACGUUUUCUCUCUCCUCUCCGCACAAGACUGCAUGCGCUCGCGGGUGCUCGCGGGACCCAGCUGUCACAGUCUGCAUGCGGAGUGCAAAUACGUAGUCUGCUGGAAACGGGGACGGAUGCACGGUCUCGUUGUAUACUAUUGGCCGUGCUGAAUACGGAUAGGGAUAGGGAGAGGGAGUCGGCUGGAGUUGGUCUUAGACUUACUGCUCUAUAGUAAAAAUGCAGCACACAAAUAUCUCCGACAUCUUGUUAAUAUAGUAUACUGAUAUAUUUUACAUAAAAUCGAAUUAGUUUAAUUUAUAUAUGUCUAAAUUACUAUUAUUAGAGUGGAAUUCAAUUCCAAUGAUUCAAACGGGCGUAAGUGAUUUUAUUUUUUGAAGGAAAAGUUGAUUUUUCCUUGGAGGAAAAAUAGAAAUUUCAUAGGAAAAUAGAGUUUCUAAACUAGACUUUAAUCUUCUGAUUUUGUUAUUGAUGUUUCCAAAAAAUUCGGAUGUUCUCUAGUUGUGUCGUAGACUUCUAAUCGUCAUUCAUUGAAUUAUAGGUGCCACGCGAGUACCAAAUCAAGUGUUGAGAGAAACAAAAGGUUUUUCUUAUACGAGAAAGGUGUUGCCUCGCUCGUAGCUUUCCAUCCAUCUAUAUAGUACGUAAGAACUAAAUUGAAUUUCAUUUUAAUAAUCAUAAUUUAAACAUAUUUAUAUAUAAUAUUUAUAUAUUAUUUUAAUUAUAUGAGAGAUACUUAUACACUACACUUAAACUAUAGAGAAGUAAGUAAAAAAUUAUGCUAUAAUUUGCACAUUAAAAAAGUAGCAUGUAAAUAUAUGGAAUUAAUUUUAAUCUCUCACACCAUGAAUUUGAGACAGGUUUAUAUAUAAUUUUAAGAAAGUUGAGGAAAGUCACAUUCUAAAAGAAUAUAGUCUAAUAUAUUAGUUAGAUUCUAAAUCCUCAAAAUGAAGGAAAACAGACUAGGCCUAAAUGUAUUGCUUUUCUUUUAAGUUAAUAUAUUAAGAGCAAUUUCAAGGAUGUUAAAAAAUUUCCACCGAAAAAUGAUUAUCGAGAGAAGCUAAAAAAUUAUAGGGGUAAAUUACUGUGCAUACUCCAACGGUCCCCUUAAAUAAAACUGGACCCAGAUUUAAAAACACGCCCUCGAGAAAGCCAACUUUGCACUUGCCUAUAGGCCUUUGUAUCUGUACAUGGACAGUAAAAAGCACCAGCUAUAUUUAACAUCAUUUGAACCAGGAACCAUUGAUGUCCGCCGUUGUCGUUUGGCUCACUAUCAUCAUUUGCGCACAUCCGAGCGCGGCAGGUUAAAUCGCACACCGAUGCGCGCCGGAAAACAAAAAAAAAAAAAACACAGGAGCUGGACAUGCGCGUGGACGGAUCGAGGAGAGAUGGAGCACACAUGAAAACAUGAGGCAGAGGAGGCUACGGAUGGAAGACAUGAAAUUUUUUAGGGUGAGAAUGGAGACUUGGAGAGUGUUGGAACAAGAAAAACAUUAUUGUUUACUUAUCUGUUUUAGGCUUGGUUUACAUGUCUUUUGAAGUUGUUUGUGUUAACAAUAAGGCUGGAAACGAGUUAAGCCGAGCGCUCGGCUCGAUGUGGAUCGCUAGGUGACCGAACUUGGCUCGGCUCCUCAACGAGCAGUAAAAGGGGCUCGACUCGGCUCGAUAUCGACACGCGAGCUACACCUUAAAAAAUAAUAAUGCAUUAUAUAGUGAAUUAAUAGUUUAUAAAUAUGAAAUAAGUGAUCAUAAUACGACAUUACAAGUAAUUUAAAUUAUAAUUGUCAUAUAUCCAUCAUUAAAGACUAAAAAAUAAGUCAGAUAUCUAAAAAAUUAUCUAAUAUCUAUCAUAAUUUAAAUUAUAAUUGUCAUAUAUUCAUCAUUAAAGACUAAGAUUAAUUUUGUGCAAGUACUGUUUGCUUCUUCAACCUUAUAAAUCUAUAGACCUUUCAUUUAUCUUCCUCUCAUGUUUUGUCGUCCUUGACGGACGAAGCUUAACUUGAAAUUUUUAAACACAAAGGAUUAAAAAAACCACAAAUUGAAACACCGAAAAAGCACAAAUCUAAGCUGGCAUAUAAAUUUUUUGUGCCCUUCAAACUGCAAUUAGCAAGAAUUUCUCGUGGGCUAGAUAUUUUCAAGCAAUUUAUGUGUUUAAUUUGGUCUGGGUUCAUGGUGUAAAUCAUCACAAAGAACUGAUCUUAACAGGUUCCCUUGAUCCAAGGCAUCUUACGGUUCUAACCUAACGCAUUAUUGGUAGUAGAAUACAAUAGGAAUAUGUGCCUUUCUUAUAGCACUAGCUAUUAGAACCAAAUAAAUAAUUUUCGCAUAAAGUUGGUCUGUAAGAGGUUCAUGAUAAGAUAAGUUGAUAAGAACGUAACAAAUGGCCAAGCACACAAUGAUAUGUCCCCUUGGAAUAAAGUACAAGUAGUGUGAAAGAGAGAUGCAAAUAAUGUUUUUUAUAUUUCUUGAGCAUAUAAUAAACAAAGAUGUGCAUCGGUCUUGCAACUUGUAGCAUGUGAAGCCUACACAUACAGAACAAAAAUGAACAAGAUAAAUUUGAUUAUUUGCUUUGAAUAAAGAAUAGUGGAGUUCUUGAUUUUCUUUAACUUACUGGAGACGAUAAUUGUAGCAAAGCUUGUACUCCCUCCGUACGUCCCAAAAUAAAAUUCGUUUUAGUUAAUUAAUAUAUUUAUACAAUAUUAAUGUAUGUGUUUUAUAUACGUGUUUAAGUUUAUCUUCAUCUAUUUGAAUAUAGACAUAAAAAAUUAAGAGCUAGAACGAAAGGAGUACUAUCUAGGGUUUAAAUUCAAAUUUAUGUCGCAACUUCCAACGCCAUUCACUACCGGAAUCCGAGGCUUUGCCGAGUGUCGGCCUCUUUGCCGAGUGCCUUUUGUCGGACACUUGGCAAAGAAGGCUUUGUCGAGAGCCGCACUCGGUAAAGUUAGGCUCUCGGCAACGAGCCUUUUUACCGAGUGCUGGACACUCGGCACAGGACACCACUCGGCAGAGACACGUUUGCCGAGUGCUAAACACUCGGCAAAGACGGCGCUCGUCAAAGGGCCGUCAGCGGCCGUACCAAAGCUGACGGCCGUCAGUCUUUGCCGAGAGCCGUGGGUUGGCACUCGGCAAAGAGUCUUCUUUGCCGAGUGCCAACUAGUGGGCACUCGGCAAAGGACUCUUUCCCGAGUGUCUUCUCUAGACAGUCGGCAAAGUAUAUUUUUAUUUUUUUGAUUUUGUCUCCCAAACUUUUUGUGGUAUGUUCCAACACUAUGUAGACCUACAUGUAUCAUUUGUGGACAAUUAUAACAGAGUUUUCAAUCGUUAGUAGAUUUAGUUCGUUUAUUUAAAUUUCUUCGGAAAAUUCAGAUUUGAACUGUAGGUCACUCAAAACUUAGAAAACCGUGCAUGAAAAAAUGAUAUUCAUGUUACUUACCAUAAGUUACGACCGAUUCCAGGAGCGUACCGGAAACUUCGAGCAACAUGCUCACUAAACAUGGUCGUGAACUUGCCAUCCACAUGUUUAAAAAUUGUAUAAAACACAAACAAAGUCAGAAAAUCAUGAAACUUGUCCACGUGUCAUGAUAUCAUAUGUAUAGGUUGUGAUAAAUAUUUUAGAAUGUUUGGAGAAAGUUGUGAGACACAAUAUGUAGAAACCUAAGAGAACUACAUUGAAACUCUAUGAUUUCAUGUGUAGUUCUCUUAGGUUUCUACACAUUGUGUCUCACAACUUUCUCCAAACAUUCUACAAUUUUUAUCACAGCAUGUACAUAUGAUAUCAUGACACGUGGACAAGUUUCAUGAUUUUCUGAAUUUGUUUGUGUUUUAUACAAUUUUUAAACAUGUGGAUGACAAGUUCACAACCAUGUUUAGUGAGCAUGUUGCUCGAAGUUUCCGGUACGCUCCUGGAAUCGGUCGUAACUUAUGGUAAGUAACAUGAAUAUCAUUUUUGCAUGCACGAUUUUCCAAGUUUUGAGUGACCUACAGUUCAAAUCUGAAUUUUCCGAAGAAAUUCAAAUAAACGAACUAAAUCUACUAACGAUUGAAAACUCUAUUAUAAUUGUCCACAAAUGAUACAUGUAGGUCUACAUAGUGUAGGAACAUAUCACAAAAAGUUUGGGAGACAAAAUUAAAAAAAUAAAAAUAUACUUUGCCGAGUGUAUAGAGAAGACACUCGGCAAAGUAUGCUUUGCCGAGUGCCACCCAGGUAGGCACUCGGCAAAGAAGUGUAAAUUAAUCUUUGCUGAGUGUCACCUGGCCGACACUCGGCAAAGGAGCCUUUGCCGAGUGUCGCCGAUCUGGCACUCGGCAAAGCUUAUUUUAAAAAUAAAAAAAAAUCUUUGCCGAGUGCUAGAUCGCGGGCACUCGGCAAAGAAGGAAAAUAUACUUCGUGCCCGGCUUCUUUCUUCUUCUUUCUCUCCUCUCACUCUCUCUGUCUCAGCGCAGUGCGCCGCCGCCGCCCUAAAUCGCCGCCGCCGACUUGCCGAGCUCGCCCGAGCCCGCCCGCGCCUGCCGCGCGCCGCCGGCUCGCCGUGCGACCGCGAGCGCCGCUCGCCGCGCCGCCCCACCGCCGUCCUGUCGUACGCCACCGUCUCCCCCGCCCGCCACCGUCUCAAGGUAUAAUUUUAUUAAAUUAUGUAUUAAUGUUUAUAUUAAUGUAUUGAUGUUUUAUAGAUUAAUGUAUUGAUGUUUCAUAUAUUAUGUAUUUCAUAAACACAUGUUUAUAUUAAUGUGUUGAUCACUCAGUAUAUGUCUCACAUCCAAUCCACCACCGCACGCUGCCACUCGCACCGACCCUCACACAACACACUCCCACAACACACUAUCCCAUCCUAUCCAUCACGCCGUCACCGACCCUCACCACGCCACUCGCACAACACACUCCCCAUCCUAUCCACCACCGCACCGACCCUCACCACGCCAACGUCUACAAUUCCUCGUCGUCGUGCCGUUGAAUUGAAUAUAUAUAUAUAUAUAUGUGUGUGUGUGUGUGUGAUUGCCGGCCAUCGUGUCGUUGAAUUAUUAGUGGAAGACAGCCAUCGUGCUGAUACUUUUAUUUGCAGGAUUUCGAUACCUCCCCGUGCAGGGGAGGUGCUGCCGAAAUUUUCUGUUGCUAGGCUUCUGUUAGAGGAUGGAGAACCGUGAGUGGAUGUACACGGGCCGUAUAGGAAGGAAUGAUGUCACCACUGAAUGGAUUAGAAAGACCGAUGAUUUCGUGGAACGGGCAUAUGGCGAAGCUGCUAAAGGAGCGAGUCUAGUCCCAUGCCCGUGCAGCAAAUGUGCCAACCGGAAAAGAAAACCAAGGAAGGCCAUGGUAGAACAUAUUUGGAAGAAUGGAUUUACACCGAGCUAUACUCGGUGGAUAUUUCAUGGUGAAGCGCAUCGUACGAGAGAGGAGGUGCUGAGACAACGUGUCGAGGAUUAUGACGCGGAUGCGGGGGUAGCAGAUAUGUUGAACGACUAUCAGGAGGCACAGUACACGGGAGGAUGUAUGGAUGACGAGCCAGAGCCGACUGCAAAGGCGUUCUACGACAUGUUCGACGCGGCACAGAAGCCCCUUCACGGCCAGACAAAGGUUUCUCAAAUGGAUGCCAUUGGGCGUGUAAUGGCGUUCAAGUCGCAGUACAACAUGAGUAGAGACGCAUUCGAUGGCUUGUUGACGGUUAUUGGGAGCCUGCUUCCAGAUGAUCACGUUCUGCCAAAGAGCAUGUACGAGGCACAGAAACUCCUUCGUGCACUCAAGAUGACGUAUGAGCAGAUUCAUGCUUGUCCGAAGGGCUGCGUGCUAUUUAGGAAAGAAUACGCGGAGGCAAAGUACUGUCCCAAGUGUACAUCGUCUAGGUUCAUGGAGGUAGACUUUGGUGAUGGACAGAAGAGGCAGCUCGACAUCCCCUUGACAAUCCUACGACACCUUCCAUUCAUACCGAGGAUCCAGCGUCUGUACAUGACAGAGGAAUCCGCGAAACAGAUGACAUGGCACAAAAAUGGAAAACGAUACAAUCCUGACAAGAUGGUGCACGCAUCUGAUGGUGAAGCAUGGAAACAUUUUGAUGUCAUUCACCGUGAGAAAGCCGAAGAGGCUCGAAAUGUACGUGUUGUGUUGGCCACAGAUGGGUUCAAUCCCUAUGGAAUGAGCGCUGCCCCGUACACAUGUUGGCCCGUGUUUGUUAUCCCAAUCAAUCUCCCCCCUGGUGUGUGCUUUCAAAGGCAGAAUAUAUUUGUGUAGUUGAUAAUUCCCGGACACCCGGGGAAUAAAAUGGGCGUGUACAUGGAGCCUUUGAUCGAUGAAUUGGUACGUGCCUGGGAGGAAGGGGUAUGGACGUAUGACCGAGCUACAAAGACAAACUUCAGAAUGCAUGUUUGGUACCAGUAUUCCAUGAAUGACUUACCGGCCUAUGGGCUAUUCUGUGCCUGGUGUGUUCAUAGUAAGUUCCCAUGCCCAGUUUGCAAGGAAGCUCUCAGGUUCAUUUGGUUGAAAAAGGGUGGCAAAUAUUCGUCCUUCGAUAAACAUCGGCAAUUUCUUCCUGCUGACCAUCCAUUCUGCCUAGACAUCAAGAACUUUACGAAAGGUGUCAUAGUGACAGACCGCCCACCUGCAACGAUGACUGGUGCCGAAAUUCGUCAAUAGAUAGAUGGGCUUGUGGCUAAUACAGAAGGUGGUUUUGUGGGAUAUAGUGAGCAGCAUAUGUGGACACAUAAGUCUGGCUUGACUCGGCUCCCCUAUUAUGACGACCUGCUCCUUCCACACAACAUUGACGUAAUGCACACUGAAAAGAAUGUUGUCGAGGCACUGUGGGCAACAAUUAUGGACAUUUCUGAUAAGUCAAAGGAUAAUGUGAAGGCAAGAGUGGAUCUGGCAGCGUUAUGUGAUAGACCAAAACUAUAAAUGAAGUCGCCAAGUGGCGGAAAGACGUGGAGAAGGCCUAAGGCCGAUUUCGUCCUAAGCAGGGCCCAGAGGAAGGAAGUACUUCAGUGGAUCAAGAUGAUGUUCCCUGAUGGGUAUGCAGCUAACCUGAGUAGGGGGGUGAACAUAUCUACUAUGCGAGUCUUAGGGAUGAAGAGUCAUGACUUCCACAUAUGGAUUGAACGGAUUCUUCCUGCGAUGGUUCGAGGCUAUGUACCUGAGCAUGUCUGGCUAGCGCUUUCAGAGUUGAGCUAUUUCUUCCGUCAACUUUGUGCAAAAGAGUUAUCUCGGACCGUGGUUGCAGACUUGGAAAGAUUGGCACCCGUGUUACUGUGUAAGCUUGAGAAGAUAUUUCCACCCGGCUUCUUCAAUCCAAUGCAGCAUUUGAUUCUUCAUCUCCCCUAUGAGGCAUGAAUGGGGGGCCUGUGCAGGGACGUUGGUGCUAUCCAAUCGAGAGAUGUCUAAAGACUAUUCGAAAGAAAUGUAGAAAUAAAUGCAAAAUCGAGGCUUCCAUUGCAGAGACAUACAUUCUAGAGGAGGUCUCAAACUUCACAACAACUUAUUAUGGUGACAAACUGCCGAGCGUGCAUAAUCCACCCCCUCGUUACAAUGAUGGCGACAAUGAAUCGAACCUUAGCAUAUUUCGAGGCCAACUCGGAAGCGCAAGUGGCUCGACCACCAAGACCCUGACACAUGAAGAGUGGCGGCAUAUCAUGUUAUAUGUAUUGACCAACCUUGAAGAGGUGACGCCAUACAUGGAACAAUUUCUUCAUGAAUUCUGGCAUCGAUCAAGGGACCCCACUCCACAGGAAUAUGACGCUCUUCUUAGAAAGGGUGCGAGAAAUGGGUUGCCCGAUUUCAUUUCCUGGUUCAAACGUAAGGUACGUGCUUAGUUUGUAAAAGAGAUACGUCUUUGAACUCAAUUUAGCGUCUUUUAACUUGCGAAUACUUGCAGGGCCAAAGAGAUCCGUCUAUGAGUGCCAAGUUGAGACAAGUAGCCAACGGCUUUGCUUAUAGGGUCAAGAAAUAUUCUGGGUAUGACGUCAAUAGAUACCGUUUUCGCACAACACACUAUGACAAAAGUCGGCCCAAUCGGAAAGCAACGUGUUCUGGAGUCUUUACGCUCGGCCUUGACAAUGUCGAUUAUUUUGGACGAAUCGAAGAAAUAUAUGAGCUCAAUUUUUAUGGUUCCAAACCUCUUACUCCAGUGAUAUUCAAAUGUCAUUGGUUUGACCCUCAAGUGACGAGACAGACACAUUCUAAUCUUGGGAUAGUCGAAAUUCGACAAGAUUCCACCUUAGCAGGAGACGAUGUCUAUAUCGUGGCCCAACAGGCCACACAAGUGUAUUAUCUCCCAUAUGCGUGUCAAACGAAAGAACAUCUUAAGGGUUGGGAUGUUGUGUAUAAGGUAUCGCCGCACGGGAGGUUACCUGUUCCUAACGAUGAAGAUUACAACUUAGACCCGGACACAUAUGAUGGAGAGUUCUUCCAAGAACAUGGGCUAGAAGGGCGAUUUGAGAUAGACUUAACUGAAGCUAUCGGAAUGGACGUAGAUAUUGAAAUGGUUGUUGAUGAGGAGGAUGAUGAGGUGCAAAAUGAUAAUGACUUAGUAAUCCUUGAAGGCAAUGACAUUAAUGACGAGGUUGCGUCUUCCGAUGGUGUUGAGAUUGAAAUGCUUGAUAGUGAUGAUGAGAGUUAUGAUCCUGCUAACCCCGACACAUAUGAAGAUUAUUUUUAAUCGAUGUAAUGCUAUAUGACUUUUUAUUUCGCACCUAUUUUUAAAUACAUCUUUUUAUAUGUGCUUAUUUGUUUACUAUUAAUUGCAGGUUGUUGGACAAAUAUGGUGGGCGGUUGGCUGAGUAGGAGGAGGGGGAGGAGGCGUAGGACGACGGACGAGGCAGAGCAGGCAGCGCAGCAGGACGAGGCAGAGCAGGCAGCACAGUAGCAGGCCGCGCCUCAGGACGACGACGACCAGCAGCAGGACGACGACGACCAGCAGCAGGACGCCUCAGGUUCAGGCGACUCUAGUUCGAGGAGCAUCUACCUGUGAGGCCCCGCGAGUCUCCCUCAGCGUCCCAUACUUCGGGACAGGCGGCCGCUGAUUCGACCGGAAGUGGAGAGGUAUGUAACUUUAUGUUCUUCAUUCUUGUUCAUAUUAUGUGUUCAAAAUCAUAAUAUAAACUAAUACUUUUUAUUUAUCACUUGGACAGGUCUUGGACGGUUUUGGAUUAUGCUGGGGGUCAUCGUCGCCCCCCCCAAUGGCAUCCUCGGCCUAUUGUGCAGGGAACACUUCCGUGGACUUGUGGAGUACGCCGGAGUGACGGGCCCAGCCUUCACCUUCGACCACUACGCUGUCGCCCCCGAUGCAGUAGACCGGGACGGCAGGGAAUUCAAUAACAAGGCGAAGCGAGUGAAGCAAGAGUUGUGGGUAAGUCUUAGUAUAAUAUAAAAUAUGUCGCAUUCGUUGCAAAUUCUUGAAAUAAUGUAUGGAUACAUCGUUUUUGUAUGCAGGAAUUCUUCAGAUGUGAUGCUGGAUAUGAGGCUAGGGCGGAUGUGGUGGCCACCAUGAGCUGUAAGAAGCUCGUUGUGGACAUGCACUAUGAGGCUCGAAUCUAGGCCAUCAUCACCUACCACGGCUCCGUCCUUGGGGAGAGGGUGACCAAACCUCAAGCCCGAACCAUGUCAUUGACCAGGGAGCAGUACCUGCAGGUAAAGUCAUGCAUGUUUGGUACCAGUACUCCAUGCAUGAAUUUUAUUUUAUCUUCUGAUAUGCACUUUACGUGUUUACUUUGUAGAUGAUUCCAUAUUGGUGCGCCGCACAUCCUCUGUGCUGGGAGCAGAUGGUGGAUAGGUGGUGUUCGGCUGAGUGGGACGAGGCGCACACCGCUAGCCGGGAACGGCGUUUGAUGAUGCAAGGCCCCUCCCACCACCAAGGCAGCCGAAGCCUGGGCCAAUAUGCCGAAGCAUGGGUACGCCAUCUUUUUUAUUUAGAUAUAUAGCACUGAGUUAGAUAUUAUUUCUAACUAUCUCGUUGGUUUUCGUUGCAGUCGGCGUCACACGGUGGUCGGCCUUGCUCCACCUUCUCGGUCUAUGCUAUGGCCCAUAAGGGUAAGGCGACGUCCGAUGUCACCUACAACCCGGAUGACGGGCCCGAGGCCUACACCAACCCCGCCGUCUACAGCCGCCUCCAUGACUACACCGCCAUGGCGCAGGAGGUCCAUGGACGAGACUAUGAUCCGAGCACCGAGCCGAUCAACCCCGAUGUGCUCAUGAGGGUCGGAGGAGGCAAGAGACAUGGGCGGUACUGGAUUGCCGACGGGGCAAUCGACUCGUCCUCCACUCCCACUCUAUCUUAGGUGAGAGCAAGGAGCACAGGCUCGAGUCCAGCCAUACGACCUCGGCACGACAGCUCACAGCAUCGCAUACAGCAACUCGAGGUUAGUGCUUCUGUAACUCAUCCUUCCUUGAGUUAUAUACCUACUCUUUGAGUUACUAUAACGUUGGCUUGUAAUAUUAUAGACCCAACUAGAAGAAGAGAGGAGUGAACGUCACGAGAUGGAGGCGAGGAUGAUGGCGGAGCGGGAGGCGGAGCGCCGGGCAGAUCAUCAGAGGAUGGCGGAGAUGUUCCAGUACAUGCAGAGCCUUGGCGCCGCACAGGGCAUCGCUCUGCCACCUCCAUUGUUCCCUCCAGUUGACCCUGCUCUCUUCCACACUCCUGUGAGUAUCAAAAUUGUAGUUAGAUGUUUGUAAUGCAUCUGGUAUAACACAUGCAAUCUCUUCUCUGUGCAGCGCCAAUCUGGGGCGGCAUCCAACAACCCUCCGGAAGGGUUCAGCCCAACGCAACCCCGGUCAAGCCGUCCACCUCCAUGAGUGUUGUGUUUUCAUUGUUUUAGACUUCAGUACUUGUGUAUAAUACUUAUGUCUGUGUUUGAUACUUAUGUGAGAGCUUGCGACGUUUGAGACUUAUGUUUGUGUUUGAUACUUGUGUUGAACACUUAUGUUUGUGAUGGAUAUUUAUGUUUGUGGUGACGGUUUUAUGUUUGUGUUGGCUAUUUAUGUUUGUGAUGAUAUCUGUGAUGUAUAUAUGUGAUAUAUAUAUGUGAUAUCUUCUGUGUUGUGUGGAUGGAAUACAAAAAACAAA
rnacentral:lncRNA from 1 species